rnacentral:lncRNA from 1 species
CUUUUUUUUUUUUUUUUUUGUGUCGGAUAUAUCUCUUGAGGUAAUUUGCAGCAGCAUCACUAAUGGAAUCACUUUGGAUGAUGAUUCAAGUAUUUGGAUGAAAAUGCUGUGAUUAUUGACGUGAUUUGCUCAAUCAUCUUAGGACUUUUUUCCAGUGCCUCACUACUGGCUUUUUAUUUCUUGCAUGAACUCAAUUUUGGGGCUGAAGAUCCCAGUAGGCAGUAGCAUGCCUCAAGUUUUUUGCAAGGUAUCUCCUAGCAUCAAGGAAUUGUUAAAUCUUUUCUUCAAUAACCUUUUUUUUUUUUUCUUUUCCAUAAUUUUGUUAUAGUAGUUACUUCACCUUCCUUUGUUCAUUUUAAUUCAAUUUUGUGGCUGGCUGGUCGCCAUCAGGGGGAAGGGGAUUGACACAGAUCCAAUUUCCAAACACCAAAAAAAAAAAAAAAAGGGGCGAUCCGGUUUCAAGAUUGAGGAGUGGUUGGCCCAGUCGCGUAAAUUGUAUGAUGGCAGAUGCAAGAAGAAGAGGUGGAGGGAGGGCUUUAAAUUACAGAAAAGUGAAGCAAUUGCUUAUCAAUAGUUAUACAAUGAUUGCAGAAGGAAAGGAAGACCCAAAAAAAAAAAAAAAAAAAAUCAAUUUUAGUAAGUUACGCUUGUCUUCAGGGUUGUUGGAGUUGGAGUUGGGCACAGUUUUAAAUAAUGCUGCUUGCUAAUUAACUAGUAAUCCUGAUGAAGUAUGUAAUGGCCAUAUAUAUGUAUGUAUGUAUAGUAUUUUACCUAUCAAGUAUUAGUUGAUGAAGUCAUGAAAGAUGCCAAUUAUCCAAAAUGGUUGACUAUUGCAUGCAGUACAGCUAGCCAGGCCGGUGAAAAUGAAGUACCACCAACAUUGGCUGUCAAGCAAUAUUUGGUGAACGGUAUAAAAGAUGUUUAUACAACAAGAUUAGAAAGAAAAAAGAAAGUAAUUAACAGUCAAAUUUGAGAAUCGAAUAGCACAGCCCUUUUUUUUUUUUUUUUACUUUUAGAUUAUGAAUUUUGAGGUCAGAUUUGUGUUAUAAAGCGGUGGGUGGAUUCGGUCAAGAACAACAGUCAAGAACCAUUGCAAAAAUUCAUACGCUGUUUUGAUUUUGGUAAGCAAUCAAGCAAGGUUGGUUGCUGAUUUGCAUUCAUUGUUCCAUCCUCUCUUCUUAAUUCUGAGCCUUUCUCUCAUCAAACACAUACACUAACUGGUUGCAAGAAACGGUGUGCAAUUUUGUGAUCAACUUGUACGUCUUCAAAGUCCAAAGCCGUCACCAAACCAAUCAUAUAUAUAUAUUAUAUGCAGAUAAUAACAUUCCCAAGUGGAGCAUGCUCAGACAUGUACAGAGUCAUACUUUCUGGCCAACACCUAAUUAAGAGCUUUCCAAAUAUGGACCCCUAAUAUGAGGGGAACAGACAAGGGACGCCGUGUUUCACUACGGAAGCUUUUAAGUUCCCCGUUACUACAACUAGCUACUUCCACAAUUUGGAACAUGCAAACAAAACCCUCUUGGGAGUUCGAGUACAAAGCAUGAUUAGUUGCGCUCGAUCUACUUUCUUUAUUUCGUAAGGUUGGCAUUCCUCUUUUUUUCGCAGUACCACUGACUUUUCUUGCUUUCAAUGGGAACCACGUACCUGGACAUUCUUCACAUUCUUUCCUCAAUGCUAAGCAAUAUAUGUAAUACCUGCGCCUCGCGCCUUGUGAUAUUUUUGGUGUCAUUCACUAGACAAAGCAUCCUGUGAUGGCGAUCUAACGACAAGUCGCCCAACAAAGAAUAAAUUCCAUUCAACUUCUUACACUAAAGUUUCUUUACAUUUCUGUACUCCUUUUCCAAAUUCCAAUUGUCUUUCGCUAUCAUCUUGCUGAUUCCUUUUUUUUUUUUUUUUUUAAAAAAAUUAAAGGCCUUUUUUUUUCGUGUGUUAGGUACUAGUGAUACUGCCCACAGCUCUCACAAUAAAACAUGAACUAAAACAAAGUGAUCGAAGUUCGAAUUUGAAGUAAAUUAACGGAUGCCACCGGUGCGAUCUUUGUCUUAUUAAUCACCGCCUCAAGGAAGGAUGGACGUACAAUUCUUGGUUAGAUUUUCGCUUUAAUUUUAGUGUCUACUUUGCUUUCAUCUGGGUUUGCCGCCGGGAAUGUUGCAUCGUGGUGGAUGGAAAAUUAUGAGAUAUACGCUCAACAAUUAAUCCAUAUAUGAUCGAUCAUCCAACACAUAAGUGGCGCGCAUUAAAUAUCUGUCGAAGACAAAUUAAACUAACUUGAAAGGUUCAAAAGCUGCGGCUGGUGGGAAGGUAAAGUAACAGUUGUGGGGACGAGAACAGCUUUUGAAAUAGAAUUUGUUGCAGUUUAGGCAGCAAACACGGCUUGAAUUCCUUAAAACAAGACUUAUUCUACUGCUGAUGACGUUGACUUGUCCACUCCAAUGCUAUGAUUUAGUCUUCUUCAUUGACAUUAAUCCCCACAACAAUAACAUCGUCGGUAGUCUCCAACAAAGACUGCAUGUCGUUCAAUCAUACCACCAAAAAUCCCUUGAUCAAACCCUGAAAAUCCAUUCGAACUCGGGCUAGCUACUAGAUAUUGCUUCUUCUACUCUCCCUGAUAUAAAAUGCGCUUAAUAAAUUAAUUAUGCUGUUCUCACCGAAAUUCUUUAGCAAAUUUAGCUUUGCUGCAUGGAAUCUAACGAGAUUACACUGAAUGUGCCCUUACCGAACAGCUAGCAUCAUGAUAGUUUGAUGAUGGUCGGAUUUUUGUGUAGUUGAACCUCGAGUUUUCCCUCCCUCAAUGAGUUUUUCACUUUCUUGUCCUAAAUCUUGACGUGGAAUUAAAUAGGCAAGGGUAUAGGGUUUUUUGUUUUUGUUUUUGUUUUUUUUUUGGCCCCCUCCAACGCCAUCUGAUUAAGAAAGGAAAAAUGACAAAGUGCAGCAGUAGUCUGUAGCCAUGUAAAACAGAUACUAGCUAUAUGUUAUGUGGCCACUAAUAUCAAACCAUUUUGAAAGCCAGUGAAUAGUAGAUAUAACAUAAGUGAAAUGACAAACUGGAGCGACAUGCAUUUCGACAUAUGAGCUUUUCUUAACAAUAAAUGUUCCCCUCAAAGCUGUAAUAGAACUGUUAUCCAUCACCGUUAGAGCAACUGGCCGGUGUUCUUCCUCUUUUCUUUUAGCCUGUUGUUUCUUAAAUGGAGUACAAAUCGAACGCAUACGCUAAUAUGUUUAAACAGCAUUAUGAGUCCAUAUCACAAGAUAUAUAGAUCGUCAGUUAACUUCUGAGUAGCUUCCAAGAAGGCAUGACAAAGGGUUGAGGUAAUAAAAUAAAAACAAUUUUAACUCUUACGAUUAGGGGUGUGCAAAAUCGAAAAAUUCCGAUUUACCGACCGAAUUCGAAUUGAAUUCGGAAUUUUCGAAAUCGGUAAAUCGGAAAUCGGAAUCGAAUUCGGAUUUUCCGAAUUCAUAUAUUUCGAAUUUGGUUCGAAUUCGGUAAUGGAGUUUUUCAAAUCGGAAUUCGAAUUCCGAUUUCGAUUUCAAAUUCUUUUUUAAUAUAUAAAUAUAUUUUUUAUACAUGUAAUAUAAAAUUUAUACUAUAUAAUAUUUUAUAAAAUUUAUAAAAUAUAAUAUAAUAUAAUAUAAAAUUUAUAAAAUUUAUAUAUUAUUAUAUAUUAUUAUAAAUUUUAUAUUAUAUAAUAAUAUAUAAAUUUUUCCGAAUUCGGUGAAAUCGGUGAAAUCGGAAUUUACCGAAUUCCGAAUUGAAUUCGGUACGAAUUCGAAUUCGGAAUUGGUGAAUUCGAAAUCAAAUUCGGUCGAAUUACCAGGUACCAAAAUUUCGAAAAAUUCCGAAUUCAAACUUCCGAAUUACCGAAUUCGAAUUCGAUGCACACCCCUAUUUACGAUUGAGCAUCUUUUCAUUUGAUAUCCCGGAUUUCACACUUCAUGAAAUUGCUACCUGUUACCGAAAUAAGACAAUCAGAAGGAUAAUACUAGCUAGGGAUGUAAUUGAGUCGAGCCCGAGUCAAGUUUUUGACUGAAUUGCUCGUGAGCAGUUUGAUUACAGCACUAGAUAAAACUAUUACUCCCUCCGUCCCACUUUGUUAGUCUUGUUUUCCUUUUUCGUCCGUCCCAAAUUGUAGUCCACUUUUCCAUUAAGAAAUGUAGUAAUCUUUCAAAUUGUCUAAAAUACCCUUAUUAAAUAUAUUGUUAUUAAUACAUUGUUAUUAAAUACUAACCCACUACAUUGAAUACAUUGAGUUUUUCCAAUACAUUGAAUACAUUGACUACAUUGAUUAGCAUAAGGGUAUUUUAGGAAAUUAUUAAUCUAAAUUUAUGUUUCCAACCAAAUUAAUUACACUUUCUUAAUCUGUGUGAAAAAAAAACCAAGACUAACAAAACGGGACGGAGGGAGUACAAGAUUUAUGUACAUGCUGCUACCAGAACUCAAAUUAGACAGAUUGAUGUACAAUAGUAUGUAUCAAGAGAAGGAAUACAAUUUAGCCAAAUUGCUUGUGCUGUUCCGAGCUGCAAAAAGAUUAUGCACUACGUACUAUAUUAUAUUUCCGAAGUACUUUAGUCAUAAAUUUUUGCUUGUGCUUUAGUUUCAAACAAAGUUUAAAGACCAAAUUUGGGGGAUGGGAUAGACUCAACAAAUCCGACGGUAUUGAGGGGAUAUUAAACCAUCAUCAUUUCAGAUUCCCGGGCUUUUGGUCCUGAGAUGGGAUUUAUAAAUUGGGGAUUUAUAAAUUAUAAUCCGGAGAGUAAAUGAUUGGUGUGUAUUAAAUUUAUAUGAAAUGAUGGACAAGUACAACGUUUGGUUUUAGUGCUCCCACAGACAGAAAAACAACGCAAGGAAAAGUGAAAAAGAGAGUCUACCAAUUAAACAAAACAGGACGACAACUCACUCUUUCAUUUAUUUUGUUCCAAAACUUGCACACAAUUGGACAAGAGCAAGCAGCUGCUAGAUCGUAUGGUUAGGACCCCCCCCCCCCCCUCAUCCAUCCAUCCAUCCAUCCAUCAAUGACAAAAUCUUACUAAUAAAUUUCCACUUAAAUCACUCCCAACCCCAACACAACUCCCCCCACUGUGCAAUCCAGCAGAUGGGCUCUAGCAACUACCGGCCUACUUCCUUCGUUCAUUCAUAGUAUUUUAUUCUUUGGCUGCCCAAAUUAACAUAUGAGAAAAGUUUUAUAUAUUGUAUAAAUAAAUUUGUAGAUAGAUGGUCAAUUAGUCAUGGCGUUGGAAUUGGCUGGAACCCAAAAUAAUGGAAACGCCUCUAGGAGCAAGUUCUGUGGUCAUUUAUGCAUGCCCUUUUUCUUGUUCUAUAUUUUUUUUUUCUUCCAAAAAAUGGAGCUGCAUUUGCAUAAUUCUUUUUUUCCCUUUUUAGGUCUCUUAAAAUGGAAUGGCAUCCCAUGGAAGCAGUCUAGAAAUCUGACUAGUCAAGAGAGGAGGGCAUUAAUGAUUAAUCCCAUGACCUACGGGUCAAUGACAAUAGUACAUAUAGGACAGGGAAUUAUGUCCAAUUAAUUGGAUGGAAGGAGUCAAGAAAUUCCAUUCGUCGAUGCAGAAGUGCUUUGAUCCGUUGACCUAUAGUUCAAUAAUAACAAUAAUUUUAUUCAAAAAAAAAUUAUGUCGAAUUAACUGGGAACAUAAUAGAUUUAUUGACGCCAAAUUUGUUUUAGUCGUGGUUUAAAUUUACAUUGAAAACAUUCAUUCAGGGCAUUAUUAUCUUGAUAUGUUGUUGUACAUGGUUUGUUUAUUUAAUACAAUAUGCGAACUAGUUGGAUCCGCAAUUAAUUAAGUGUUUAUUCAAUUAUCGGUCAGCAUUUCAAACGACACACGCUCGGUAGUAACUUUUUAUCACACUUCACUAUUCUUUCGGAAGCGACCGGUGUUAUGUUCCACGGAAAGCAUUCUCUCCGACCAUCCCAAUUCCCUAUUCCAAGGGUAAAAGGUAAAUAUAGUACUCCCUCCGUCCCACCUUGAUAGUUCUGUAUUUCUUUUUCAUCUGUCCCAAAUUAUAGUCCACUUUCCAAUUGACGAAUAUAGUUGUAUUUUAAUUUUUCUAAAAUACCCUUAUUCAAUGUAAGUAGUUGUUACUAUAAACCUAUCCCAUUUAAUGAGAGUUGAUUCUUUUGUACCAUCCAUUCAAGUUCCCAUAAAAUUGUACCAUAUUUAAUAUGAGGGUAUUUUAGGAAAAUAGCAAUCUAAAUUUACAUUUCCAACAAAAUUAACUACUUUUUCUUAAACUGUGUGAAAAAAUAAACAGGACUAUCAAAGUGGGACGGAGGGAGUAGUAAUAUAUGUAUAUAUAUAAUUACAAGUAAAAGUAAAAAGAAUGGUAGCGGUGCCAAGAAAGCACGCAAUUAAUUGAAAUUACACUCUUUUAAAUGCCUAAAAGUAGACGAAAAGUGCCUUUUCCUAGACAAGAUUACAAGCUUUUAAAGGGUUGAUGAUUGAUGAUGCAUCAAUAUUUAGUUUAGUAACUAUCAUUACAUUUAGAUAGUAUGAUUGACAAAUUAUCAUUCGAUCAUCACAACAAUCGAGUAGUAGCUAUUAUUAGUUACUAGUAAUAUUCAUCUUGGAAAUGCUAUCAAGAAACAUAUAUACUAUGUCAAAAUCCUGACGUAAUUCAUUUGAAUCGAGACAUGAAAAUGAAAUAAGUUCUCUAUUCUAUUGCUGCGAAUCCAGAAGUUUGAUGCCGCGCCUGUUAGACUCACGCGGUCGUUUAUUAGGCAAGAUUAGUUGACACGGUAGACUAAAGUUUUGAUUCUUCUGCCCUUCGACAAAUUGCCACAUUAUUUUCAGGGACCCUCCUCUGCUUUGUUGAAGAGGGGAGACCUCCAUCCUGAAAAUGAUAGUCUAAGGCAUUAUUAAUGCACAACAACAACCUUGCCAAAAUAAAUAAAUGAAAAAGUACCAUUUUGGAUUUUUAUUUUUUCAAAAAAAUUUUACCUUUUUUCUAUGAACAUAUGUUUUAUUCAUAUUUUUACCUUGCGUACAUCAAAUUGGUGCAAUACAUUUUUUUUUAUAUAAAAACUCCAGAAAAUAGCAAUUCAACUGGAUUCAACGGAAGAAACAAACAAGAAAUUGUCGGUACUCGCACAUAAUUAGCUAUUUUUGUAAAUUCCCAAAUAAAUUUUUAUUAAAAUUCUAUGAGAGCCAAAAAAAAAAAAAAACAACAUUUGUAUAGUCAAGAGUCAACCCGAGCAUCCAUAGUUUUAGUAUGGCGUUGUGGGAGUGACCCCGGCUUCAGCAAGUCAAGUUUAAAACUAGACUUAGCUGGUCUUCCUCAUGCAUGUGCCUGUAGUACUACGCUUCCUUUACUCUGCUUCUCAAUUCAUCAAAGCUGUUCUUCUUUGACUACUCUGCAUUUCACACUAUCAAAUAAUCAAAUCAAACAUCAGUAAUAAAUGAUUUCACUAAACGGACGACAAAAUAAAGACCCAAUCGAAAAAUGCCAGAACUUUCACCCCCUCGCUAGCUUGUGACGACGCUUAAUAAAAAAAUUCAUUUUCAUGGCUGGCACUCCCAUUUCUUCCUACCUUCACAAAAGGGUGAACAACAGUCUCCUAAUGCUGACAUCUCGAAACAAAUAAUGGAUACCAACAGGAGAACUAGCAGAAAUUGAAGAUACAUAUCUAUAAAUAACGAUUAACAGCUCAGAUAAUAACAUCUACUGAAAAUAACACGUCCAAAAGCUAGGUGGGUACCUUUUAGCCUCAGCCAGAUAGAUACUCUGAUGGAUGAUCCAUUUCUACCUCGAAAUCAUGACACAGAACCAUCAUAAUGGCCUUCUACUUCUGAGUAUCAAAUAUCACUCUCGUGAGUAUCAAAUAUCACUCUUUUGAUAAUGGGCUUUAUCAACCAAUUUCAGUGCAGAAUAAAACAAAACAGAGACAGUAAAGCGGAAGGCAUCCAUCAACUCCUAAUCCACAUUGAGUUCAUGGCUAAUUGGCCACAGACUUGUACUUUUACAGCCCAGUGAUCACUCCACCACCAGUAGCUUGCACGCUUAUGCUAGAGCACUGUACAAUAAUAUCCCAAACAGUUUCGUCCCAUGUCUUAGAAUUGGCCAGCCAGGGCGGUGAAAGCAUAUCGAUCGUCAUCCAGAAAUGGUACUUGGAAAUAAAAUUAAGAACAAGUCUCGCAUAAAUUACAAGGAAAAGGAGAAAGAUACUCAUUAUUGGCGCAAUAAAAGACGCUUGCUAAUUAUAGAGAAACAGAGAAGUAACAAGAAGCUGCUAUACUACAGUCUCUGUGCAUCCGAAACCAUGGUCACUAGAAUAUUCAUAAGGAAAAUAAACUCAGACCAUAUUUUUCAUCCAACAUCUUUUCUACUGCUCGUGAAAAUAGAUCAGUGAAAACUUCUCAACUCACACUUGCACAUCUGUAACUUUUCCUAACGUCUUUCUUCGCUCUCCGUUUUCAGCUAAUUUCUGUUCCAUAAGAAACUUCUGCCGCUGCUCAAUAAUACCGUCGAUCAUCCGAUUGAAAUCUUCGUCGCUCAUAUUGUCCACCGUGUCAAAUGACGUCGCCUUUGGCCUUUCGGUCCUUCCUCGACCGACCUGAACCGUCUCCGACCGUCGGAGCUCUCCCUGCGGCUUCACCGCGAUCUCUCUCUUCGGCUUCUCCGACUGCAUCCUCUGAAACUUCUCAAUCCGUUUUGCCGCCGUCUCUAUGGCCGUCGUCACAGCGUCGCAUUGCUCCGCCUUCUCCUCCGUCCACAAUAUGAUCUGCUUCUCCUCCGCUUCGCCUCCAUCGCCGCCUCCUGCGCCUGCAAUCACGUCCAUAGUCUCCGGCGUAGCAGGAAUUUCUGGCGGAGGAAUGUUAACGCCUCCCGAGCCUGCAACUUUUUGCUGUGGAGCAUGAGCCUGGCUGUGACGGGCAUAUUCGUCGUAGAGAUCAUCGUCGCCGGAGUUCUCGCUACCGGCGCCGGUUCUUCGACAGAGGAAAAAGAGCGCGACGAUGAUGACGUUGCCGAUGAGAAAAACGACAUGCGGAUUAAACAGAUAGUCUGCAACUUCGAACAAAAUCCUCCCGGAGAUUUUCAGCGCUCCGGGAAGACGGGUGGAGGACCAGGAAAUCAACAGGAGCGCCACCAAAACUUCCAGAAACUGAAAAAGUUUCAUAGUCCUCCGGAAACGGUUAUACCUGGCCAUCGCCUUCGCCUUCUCAAAUUUCACGUUGUCGAACACUUGCUCUUGAGAAUCCAUUUUUAAAUCCUCCUCCAAACACGCUGAUUAAAUCUCGAGUGAGUGCGGGAAAUGAAGAGAGUUACUCGGUAAAUGGCAGUAGAAGUUGGAAAGAGUCGAGACUAUUUGUGAGGGGGCGGUGGAUUUAAGAAAGGAAGGAGAGAAUUUGGAAAAGAGAAAUGAUCAGCGGGAGUUAAUUUGGAAAAGGGGAGAAGGGAGAAAGGAAAAGGGAAGAGAGUAGAAGCAAUAUAUGCAGAAGUGCAUAUAACUAUAGAAACAGAUACUAUCAUAUGCAUAGAAACACAGAGGAGAGGAAAACACACACACUCACACGCGCGCGCACACUAGGAGAAAGAGGGAUAGGCAAUUUGUUGGUGUAAAUGAGAGGGUAUGGUAGGUUUUGGAUGCUCGAAUGAAUUUUGUGUUUGGUUAUGGAGGAAAUGCUCUGAUGAUGGAAGGAAAGUUUACAGAGCAAGGCAUGGUUUUAUAGGCGCGGAGCAGGGAAGAGAAUCGUCGGGGUCCAUGGGGUAAGUGGAGCCAAGAGAAACUUGUUUUUUGUAUUUCUUUUUCUUAUUAUUUUUUUCUCUUAUGGUUGUUUUUGAAUAGGUCUACACUUGCUACUAUUAUGGUUUAUGACUUUCUCGCUCUUUCUUUUCUUCUCUCAUGCUAUGAUUUACGAAUUGUGACUCCUUUCCAUUUUCUUCACAUAUGAUAUGAUAUGGUUGUCAUCUUGGCUCUUUUUUAGAGCAACAAGGAGGCUUGGCUUACAAUUCACUAGUUACUUUUCCGGGACAUGAACAAUAAUCGUAUGCUACUAAUCAUUUCUAAUUACACGGGACGAUGAAGAGGGUCAAUUAACAAUUAUAUGCACGAGUGUGUUUGGACAGUGAAUUAUUUAAUACUUUUUACGAUAUGAUACACAUAUUUGCCCGUAAUCCUGUUUUUUCAUGCGGAUAAAAGCUUUAUAUUUACUCAUUAUUGAUUGCUCGUGACCCUGUUUCAUGCGAAUAAAGUCUUAGGGCAUGUUUGGAUUGCAUUUUCCGUCAUUUUUCAUGGAAAAAUUACUGUAGCGAUUUGAUCUAUGUGAGAGAAAAAGGUGAUAGGGAAAUAUGAUCACGAAAAACGACAAUAUUUUCCGACGAAAACAAGCAAUCCAAACACACCCUUACAUUUACUCAUUAUUGGUGCAAAUCAAAACUUAGAACACCCUGCUAUGCUAUCGAGCAUUUUUUUUCUCUCCAAUUCAAUGAUUCAUUGUCACUUGAGCAAUGUUUUGAGAGAGGCUGAUGUUUCUAUUUGAAAAGUUCUUUAGUUAGGGAACGAAUUAGAGAGAAAAAGUUUUUUUUUUUUUUUUUAAAAAAAAAGGGAAAAAGGACGGUGGUGGUUUUUGCUAAUAAAACAGGGUGGUUGUGCGGUGGGAGGAAGUGUGAAGUGACAUUUUUUUUGUUUGUAACAUAACCGCGUGUGAGCCAAACCGGGGCAGAGUGUAAAGCCGCGAGACCAAGACCACGCCCACGCGUGGAAUAGUAGUCUAGUACCGUACCUAAGUUAGUUUUUGGGUACAGCUUUGCUUUGUCAGUUUGUCCAAGGACGGGAUGUUCUUCCUACAACCUCUAGGCUUUUUCGCUUUUAAAUUAUGCUGUUGGGUUUGUUAUGUUUCUCAGAGCUCAGAAACCGGGAAAAGAAUCAGGACAAAGAUUAUUUAGAUUUUUCUUCUUUUGCCUUUUGGGGAAAUUUUUCUUCCUUCUUUCCACAUUUGGUGCUUGAAUUACUAAAUUCUUAUGCCCCUAGUGUACAGUAAUCAGUAUUGGUUGUCUGGCCUGGCGUGCAAUAAUGGGUUUGAAGAUGUUGAUGAACAGAGGACUUGGUAUGCGGUGCGAUGCUUGUAUACCUACUACUGUAAUCUUGUGAGUCCCAUGCAAUGCCCAAAAACCAACAGUGCGUGAUCCCGAGCCACUACAACUACAAGAGAGGAUGCUUGUGCUGAGAACAACAACGAUGCAUCGGAUGAUAAAGCUGAAUUCUGAAAUCUGAAUUCAUUAAAGUAUUGAAUUAUUAAAUAUUAAAUUAAAUACAUAUGAGUGUAUCAAUUUUUUGAUAUCAAAUGCGUCUGAAUAUAUUAAAAUCUGAAUUCAUUAAUUUUAAGUGCUAAAUUGAGUUAUCAAACAGGAUUUAAAUUCUUCUCUUUAGUGUAAAAGAAAAAAAGAAGAUAAAGAAAAGUAGCGGAGUAGGAAAAGAUUGAAGUCAGGUUCAAAAAUCUCGUUACCUAUUGUGAUAGGUUCCUGUAAUUGGACAUGACAUAGACUCUCUAUCUUAGCAUAUAGUAGAAUUGAUCUAUGAAUAAUGGAUAUCACGGCUUGAGAUUAUGAUUAGGUGCAAAUUUUUUUUGUUGCCUUAAAAGACGUGCACAAUUAUAUGGUAUUCAACUUUGAGGGAUUGAAUUACUAGCUAGUAGUAGUAGUAGAAGUGGUUGGUGACUGAGCGAAACUUUCCUUGAAGGCACGGUCAUGUUCCAAUGAGCCUUCCAUCUUCAUAUGCUUGCCAGUUGCCAUCAGUAGUGUUUCUUUUUUUUCCGGACACUGAAAUAAACGCACACACAUAAUUAAUUAGAUUAAGCACGAGAGUCAAUCUAAGGGGAUCCACAGAGCAACCCGAUCCAGCCAAUUGGUGACAAGACGGACACCCCAUGAACCUUAAAUCCAAGAUGAAAACCCCACGAUCUUUCGAUGUGGGAUAGAAGCCCAAUCCCCCGUGCACACCCUCACCAAAUAUGGAAUUGUUUUUUCCGGACACUGAAAUAAACACACACUUAAUUAAACUAAGCACGAGAGUUAACAGAUAAAUCGACCCAAUAAACAAUCAGUCUAAAGGGGACCCAGCCAUCAGUAGUGUUUCGUACAAGUACGAAUUGAGUACUACUUCUACUACUACUAUUUUGCAUUUUCUGAAUUUCUACAUCUACUGCUACUACUUGUUUACUUAGCAACCAGAAACAAAUCUGCGACCAAUUCCUGUGGGAUGGUAGAGCUCACCAGCCAUCAAAAACCUGUCCAGCAACCAAAAAACAUUAGAUGCCAAAAAAUGCAGCAGGCAGGCUGGCUGAUUUGACCUGUCUAAGACCGAGAGGAGGGUCUGUAAUGGUUGAAAAAUUUUAAGUAAGUUAAAAUCGAUUGUUUCUUCACGUCCCACUGUCGACUCGACGGUGCCCAGCACCUCACCCUCCCCGACGGGGGCCGCCAGUCCACUUCCUUCCUCCUACCCUCUCAGCUAUUUCAAUCAUCAUGGCCAAAAAGACAAUAAUAUCAUUAGAAGCUCAUUGGCUAAUAAUCUGAUACCCUCUCAGCUAUUUCAAUCAUCAUAGCCACUUCCUUCCUUCCCCCUUUUUUUCACAUAUAUAUAUAUAUAUAUAUAUAUAUAUAUAUAUAUUUUUUACAGGGAGCGAAAAAUGUAGCUGAACGAAAUGUGGUAGAAUAUAUAUAUAUGUUUAGCAAACUCUUUAACUGCCAUACAAUUAAUUAUACACUCAAGUAAAAGAAUAUUUGUAAAGAAUUGGGGUCACAUUAAUUAAACAUAUCCGUUUAAGGAAAAUUAUAUAUAGUACUAAAAUCUCGGGUUUCUUGUCCGCUUUUUCUUCUUUCUUCCGCCAUUCAAAAUCAUUGCGGUGAAUAUGCUUUUGAAGCCAAAGAGAAAAAGUGAAACUUCACAAAUAAAAGGAGCAGUGAAACAAAAGAAAAGAUCACUCCGAUACAAAUUCUGGUCAUUGACGUGAAGAUGAAGAGUCCAAUUAUGUGUUGCAUCAUGCAUGGGAAAUUUAGGUGAAAAGAAAGCUAAAAGUAGCCUAACACUAAUGUACUUUGAGACCUUUCCUACAAGACAAGACAAGACAAAACAAACCCAUGAACUCGUGUGGAUCUGGAUCUUUGUUUGAAUUGUAAGUUUUUUGAGAUUAUUUGAAAGAUUUUUACUGUAGCACUUUUUGUGAUGUGAUGUAUGUGAGAUAAAAAGAUAAUUAAAAAGAUAAAAAGAUGUAUUAAAAAUUGUAAUGAUGAUGUAAGCAAAUAAAACUGGAUAAAUAAUGCACAAUCCAAACGACCUAAGGCCGACCAUGAUUUGAGAUCAUCGCACAUUCACUUCAAGUUGCAUUUGCCCUGAAAUUUGAAUACCCCCUUCAGCUUCAUGUCACGCGUUACCUAUCAUCCCUACCCGUUGCUACCUCCACCUUUCUCCAAUUCCCAUUCAUGACGUACAUGACCCAAAGAAGAAAAGAAUCAUUAUCUGGUCUGACAUGGAUUCUGGCAUUCAUUUUUUCCUUUUUUAACUUGGCCUUGCCCACUUCGCGUAGACAGCAUAACAAGAUUUAUUACUGAUUAACCUGUAAAGAUUCCAGCCUCCCUUGCAAGAAUUGGACAAAAAAAAAAAAAAUGGAAAAAAUUGGAUUGGGUGACGAGAUGAGAACGAUGGCAAGUGAAAAAUCAUAAAUUUAAGAUCUCGAACGACGAAAAUACUAUGUAUGUGACCGAACUUAGAGGCUAAUGAUUUACAUCAAGUAACAUACUUUCUUCUUCACGUGUAUGUGUCGAACUAAUUUACGAAGACCCCCCCUCUCCCCCUCCCCCCCCCAAAUAAAAAACAAACAAAAGAAAAAAAAACAACAAAAGGAAAAAAAAAAAACAACUGGAGAAGCUUUGAUGAGUCAAAACUUGACAAGUGCCUAUUCCAAAUUGUUCAUGGCCAAUAUCUAAUUUCUACGGAGGAAAAUGAUUGGAGGCACCCGUCAAACACGUCAUUUCUAUUGCAUGUCUUCAUGAAUUUAAAGAAAACCUCUUGUCACGAUUCCUAGUGCUCUUUUGCGUUCAUUCACGAGCUAUAUAUAUAUAUAUAUAUAUACCCUUUUUGGAUUAAUCAAAAUUACUUUUGUUUUAUCCAGCUACAUAGUUCUUUUUUCCCCCCGGUAAGACUUAUUGCCAUUUUCCGAUGAUAUUGAUUUUAUGUACAUUGGUACUGCUAUAAUAUAGUCAAUUUUUGUGUUUAUACAAAAGAAUCCUACAUUAAUCUUUUAGGGUUCUAUGGAAUAUCGUUUAAUGUGAUUUUAAACCUAAAGGUCUGUAUUCUCUUUUGCAUGCAAGAAUUGUUUUUUUGAUAAAAAAAAAAGAAGUCAAUAUUAUUAAUAAACUACAUGAAAAUCGUCCAACAUGAUUUUCUUAACAAAGUAAUCUAUAUUAAUGGCAGAAAAUAUAUUGACUAUGUCACAGACAUAUUUGAUCUGAAAAAUCAUUAGAAUUAAUAGAGUUACACAAUAUAAAAGAUUAUACUGUAAAUUACAAAUCAUCAAAUCUGACUAAUUGAACGAGUUGCUCCAUAGAUAUUUGUGCAUAUCUAUUCUCUCAGAUCUGCUAUCCAACUGAUUUAAGUUCAAAACUGACGUUGACAUCUGACGAGAAGACCAAAAAAUUCUAAAUCUAACAUAUAGAUCUAAAAAAACUCUUAGAUCUGAGAAAAAAUAACAAAAACUAAACAAAACUCUCACUAGGAUAACGUAGAAGAGAAGAAAACUCUCACUAAAAUACAUUAGGAGGGACUUUAUUAAAUAAAAAGCAAGAAUAAUAGGAUACGAAGGGAAACCUAAGUUUAAGGCCAACAUCUUGAUUUAAGGCCAAUGUCUCCCUCCCAUGGAAGAAGAACAGUAGAGAAAAGGUUGAGGGUAAAGAGGAAUGUAUGACAAGAAUUGUUUUAAUUGGCUGCCAUGUAUAUGUUUAUACGUAAAUUCAUUCUUGUUCAUUCAGGCAUGGAAAUGCAGGGGAUAGCUUUUACAAGCCCAAUUGGCAAUUUUCUUUGAUCACUGAAAAAGUAGAGAGACCAAUACCUAUAAAGAAACAAUGAAGCUAGCUAGAAUUAUAAGAGUUGGUUUUACUUUUCUUUUUCAUUCCGGGGAAAUCUGUGCUUGGUCUUUUCAUGGCAUAUAGGUCUUGCAGAAUUUAAUUUAACACAUUGCAUGUAUUGUAGCAUCCCAAACAGUUCAAUUCUGCAAUUCAUCCAAUGGUGACAUUAUCCGUUUAGAUUGCCCCCAAAAAAAAAGUCACUAAUUCUCAUCAAGAAUUGAGGAGACGUGGCACCACAAAAGAUUAUCGUUCUUCUCCUCAUGUCAUUAUAUUUGACUUACGUGUUUAAGGAAAAGAAAAAGAGAAUUUUAUCCAACUGGAAAAGAAAAAAUGAAAAGGUACUUCUGGAUGAGCGUUGCUGUGGAACCAUUAAUUAGCUUCUCCAAAUCCGUAGUUAAAAGCCUUUACAAAAGAUUAAGUAGAGCAGGAGUCAAGGCUUUCGGCUGUAAUGAUGAAACAGUGAUUGAAAUUAGGUAAAGGCGAUUUAAUUUAUCUGCCGAAGCUACGGAUUUGCUUGGAAAGAAUAACCCAAUAUAAAGGGGUCCCAUCCCAUCCAAUAAGAGGAUCAUAAUUCAUGACAAUAUAUCUCUGGGGUUUAUUUGAAGAAGGACAGUUUGAAGCAUGAUACCCAUCCAAGGCAAUCAUGAACCUUUCCAAGCCACCAUUUCUAAUCCCUUUUAGGGUUAAUCAUGCUUCUUUGAAUCAUUUUGCUUCCCACUGAACUGAUAUCAAGCGUUGUGGGUUACCCACUACAUAACCCUGCUCAUCCUUUGCUCUUAUUAAAUCAAUCACCAGUGUGCAAUAGAAGCAGAAAGUGAUAGCUAUAUAUGCAUGUCCUAAAAAAAAGGUAGUGUCAAUCACGAAUUGAAUCUCAAUUUAACCACUUUCCGUUACUUUUUGCCCAAGUUUUGUACAGGCAUGCCACUAGUCCUAGUUUAUUGAGGCAAGAAAUGUCACCAGUCCCAGUUUAUUGAGGCAAGAAAUUGCUAAUAAGGAAAGAUCUUUUUUAUCCUUAUUUUUCUGUGAAGAGGCUGAUAAGGGCAAUUAUUAUGGAUUUGGUUAACAAACAGAGAAUUAAUAUGUUUGUAGGGUUCUCUUUUGGUCGUUAAAUUAAACAUCUGAGUGGCUCCUUCCAAAAAAAAAAAAAAAACAUCUGAGUUUAGCAAGUGCUGACUGGAGAUGGAUAAAAUGCUCUUAUUGAUUCAGAACAUUUUUAACGAUGAAAAUUGUGGUGGCUAAGGCUUCCUUUCUUUGGUAGUAGUGGUUGAAUUGAAUUGAAUGGAAGGAACAGCUUUACCCCAAAAUUGCGGUGGCCUCAUAGUCAAUUCACUGCCAUGAAAAUCUACAGCACUAUCCAUGGUUCACAUCACCCAUUCGGUGCAUACAAUAAUGCAAGAAACUUUAGCGAAUGGAAUGAAAUUACCUCAAAUUUUGGACGAAAGUAACAUCAUCCAAAUUGCCUCUAGAAUAUAUAUACUAACUAUAAGAGAUGGACAGAUGUUUGCGUACUUAGUAGUACUGAAGGAGAUCGAGGGCCUCUCGCUUGACAGCUCAACAGGCAAAGUUUAACGCAGUUGGGAAAAAGCAACACCUUGGGUUAUCGGUUGGAGAUUUAACUGUCGGAUUGAUGCAACACAUACAACCAGCAAUAAACUAUAUAUUAAUCUGGUGCCAGCUUUUGACUUCUUUCUUCUUCUUUUUUUUUUACCUGCUCUGCUCUGAUCAAUAAGUUGCAUUUUUUUUUUUUUUUUUUUUGGUAAGAGGGCUGCCAAUGAAUUCUAGCAGCAAUUAGACACUUUUGCACGCAUGGAACCCAUUCUGGUCUAACUUUCUUCUUCAGCGAAUUGUAAAGUUUAACAUGAAAGAUGAAGAAAGAAAAGUCGGUGACCCAUCCAUCAUAUAAUUAAUACUCGAGUUAAGUUAAAGCAUAAGCAUCAUUCAUUUUCCACGGCAACUUUUAGAGAGAACACGUAAUUAAUUAACGUACGAGUUCAGAUGUUGCUUUGAUUUCACAGCAAUUUUUCCAGUAGUAAUGAUUUACAAUGCAUUUCUUCCAGUGAUUCGCGAGCAGUGAUACUACAAAAAUAAAUAUUUUCUCGAAAUUGUUUCAGCACCUUUAAUUAUGAAUUCUUAGAGAGUAAGAAACCACAGUAUCUGUAUGUCACAUUAUACCCAUGCCAAUAUUCUCUCCUUUUUUCGUUUGACGUGAAAGGCAGGCUACCAAGGCAGCAAUAAUAAAUAUUCCAUCCCACCGGAAGGUAAUAAUGCAGGACCAAACUUGUUCCUCAAAGCGCCACGAUCCCUAGCAGCCUGCACAAAACUCUUUUUGAUUUGAUGUUUUAGAUUCCCCCUUCGGUCCCAAUCAAAUCAAAUGAACCUCUUUUUGUUACGCUUCCUCUUUACAAAUUACGACGGCCCAAAAAUCAAACUUACUUUAACGUGGAAAGCAGGUGCGGGCAUGACUUUGGAUAAAUGGUUGCCAGAAAAGGCCAAAAAACGAGAACCAACCCGUUCAAUACGGCAGUCCGAAGCCGAUUAUGCCUGGAGAACCAUUACUGUUAAACAACGCUAUGCUAUGGUAUGCUAGUGGCAAGUUUUAAGGGAAAACUGCUUAACAAACCAUCAUAGCUGCUGCGCGCGUGGGAAAUUUAACGUCUUUAAUUCUUGGCAGGCGGCUAUAAUAUAAGGAGGGUAAUCACGAGAUGGCAAACGUAGUGGUACCAGACAAUCCGACUUCAAGAGGAUAAACAAAAAUGGCAGGGACGAGAGGAAGAAACCUCGAGCUAUGGAGUAAGCAUAAAGAGUCUUUUGAUUCAGCAGACCCAUGAAUUUUUCCUCGCUAUCGGUUCAUGGAACUGCGCUAUGACAUUGACGCUUCCCGUUUUGGUAAAUUUACUUGAACGCUACAGCUGAUUGUACUAAUCCAAGAUUUAUGAAGCUCAUCCACUAGCUUUGAGGCACAGGAUGUCAGUAACCAGUCGAAAAGAAUACAAAUGACCAUGGAACUCAAGAAUUCCAAAUGUUGGGAGAUCCAAAUAUUUAUCUUCUUCUUUCAUCCCGGUAAGGUCCUUCACUUUCUUGAUCCUUCAAGAAGCCUAAGAAUGCAAGAAAGCCGAAAAAGAAGAAUCCUCCAGACCAAUUGCCUCCACCUCCACCGCCACCACCUCCACCAUCACCAUCAUCACCGGGAGGAAAUCCAGUCCCACCAUCAUCUAGUUCUGGAGAUUUUUCCUUCCCUGGCAUUCAGUACAACAUCCACUAUCUCAGAAAUCCUUGAUAGCAAUCAAAUUAUCAGAGGCAAACUAUAUUUGCCAUGCUUAUGAAAUCAAAUAAAAAAAAAAAUUAUUGCUCUAUAGGUUCUAUAUUUGCAUGUUUAGUUUCUCAGAAAUUUCACGCCAAGGAGAAAUUCUGGCUCUUGGUAGCCCAAUAUAUAAAGGCAUGUCAAUACAAGCAGCUGAUUAUGUUACAAACACCGAUAUCAUGGACAGCCAUAAAAAGGUUACCUUGAACAGGAGCGACAGUAAUUGUCGAUGAUUGCCGUGUAACUGUUUGGGUCUGCCCCUCCGCGCAUGUUGCAUUCUUAGAAAAAGAAAUAAAAACCAAAUUAUCAACUCAUAUAUUGCUAAUCAUUUUGCUUACUGAAGAAAUACAAACUGAAGGUAGACCCAGAAAAUAUACUGACACAUCCUCAGACUUAUGCAUGAUAACUUUUACUGAUUAUUGUCGCCUAUCAACACCACUAAUCUACCAACAGCCAACUCUCGGAAGUCAUGCACUAGCCUGUAAGCCUAAUUAACCCUCUACCUGAACGCAAUGCCAGAGUUCCCUGGUCUAAAUAGUGUGAGCUUUUUUUUUUUUUUUAGUUGGGAGAGCGGGGAGUGGAGAGAGAGACGAGCUAACAUUGAACCUUUUUCUUUUCCUUUUAUUUAUUUUUUGGCUCAUUGUACAGAAGGAUUCACGAUGAGUAAAUCAUCAGUUAGAUGAGACUCAGACACAUUCUCAUUUCAAAAACAUCACAGAGAAAGCAAAGAUUCUUUAAAAAAAAAAAAAAAAAAAAAAAAAGAGGAGGAAGUAAAGACUGUUGAUGUUGAAUAUAUGACUGUUAAACAACACCGGCAUAGAUUAUCUCCAGAUAACUUAUAGGCAAAGUAAGAUUACCAGGGCAGCAGAACAUAUUAUGGAAGUUUGCUUUGUUCGAAUAGCAUGAUUGAUGGGUGUUCUCUUGUCAAGAGGCCGAAACCGUAAAGACAUUGGUUUCAGUCCAACAGGACCACAUCUAAUAUGCUUGAUUUGCACCGGCCAUCUAUCCUCUGCUUUUACUGCACCAAAAAGGCCUCUAAUAUGAGAAAAGAUGAAAUGAAGAACAAAAACAUAUAUGGACCAAAUGCAGAUUUAAUAAAUCUAUAAAACACAUGAAUAAGAACUCACAAAGACUCGGCACAAGGACAGUGUUAAUCACCAUAGAAGGGUAUCAUAAAAAUGUCACCAGAAACACACUAGGGAGAUUCCCUGAGAUCUCAUGUCAUAUGCUCAUAAGUCUCCUGUGCAAUUACCACAAUAUACAAGUGUGCAGAACUAUGACCUAGCUCAUUUACAAGAUUAAACAACAAUCUACUGCAGUAUCAGAGCCUACAACCAAACACUGUCAAGGACACGAAUCACAUCCUCAUCUACGUCUGCUCGCACACAUAGUAAUACAAUCAACUACAUUAAGCUAACCCAUCAAAAUUACAGAAGUGCAUGUAUUUGGCCUAGAAAUUCACACAGUAUGCUUGGGGCACAAUUUUAACUUGAAGUUCAGUAAACAAUCUAUGCUGUAAAGCUACACAUGAAUGCAUUAAUUUGGACAUAUGACGGAUGAAACAAAGAAGCAAGUUUGUCAAAUAAUAGUAAUUGACCAACUUCUCGUGCAGGUUCUAUAUGCCUGACUACAAAAUGUUUGCAGUUUCCACCACUUCUCAGAGUUCUAAACUUAGAGGAAUCCACCAAGGCUCAACUAACUGUGCAUAGUAAGAGAGCCCUUUUGUGCUCAUAAUGUUGUUUUUAAAUUAACAAAUGACCAUUCUUCCAUGUUUGAGGGUUUCAACCCUAAAACUUGAUAGUCAAGAUUCAACCCUACUGAUUUACAACAUUUUUUUGAAUAAGCAUAGAUCCAAAAUCCUUUAUGCUUCUGUAUGAUCCUUAUCCUUGUGAAAGAUAUUGUUUCCACUAAGAUGUGCUCCCAGGAAGCAAAAUUAAGACAACAGAAAGGUCCAAAGGCACCAGAUGUUUGCAGGCAGAGUACAAGUGAUAUACACAAAGUUUCACGGUCUAUGGAUUUAUGUAUUUAUGCUAUUUUUGACUUUCCAUCUAACAUUCAUACCACUACAAAGUACCCAGUACAAAAUUCGUGUCCUUAUGCUUAGAAACUCAGAAGAAUCCCAGUUUCCUUCUCUCAAUUAUUAUGGCAUCAACAUACAGCAUUCAAAUCUCAAAUGUUGAUUGCUGGCUAAUAAAGUUGCUGAUUUCCUCUCUUAAGGUUAUGCAGUGACUGAAUAAGUAGCCAAAGAUGUAAGACAAAACGUAAAUUAAAUAACUACGGAAAAGAGUAUCAACGUCAUUUUAAGAAAGAGUGUCCCUCAUAAAAAAUGUUUAACUAAACAAGGAUAUCCCCAUGUACACACACGUCUUCACUCAAAAUCCAAGAGCUGCACUCUAUGAACCUAAGCACAUAGCCCUAUGAAUUCCAGACUGUAUAAGUGCAACACAACAAAAGCACUGAUAAAUCACAGGCAGCUCAGAAACAAAAGAAUUGUCAACCAUCUGUUUCACAUGAUAAAGACAAGAUAUCAAUGUCAUUAAAUAGAACUUAUACACACCUGUGGCUAAAGUAGAUGUGCCGGCACUUGUGCAUGCCAUCAAAGACAUUCUGUCAAUAGAUGAUAUGACCUGAAAGUAUAGCCACAAGCAACUAUGCUAUCAACAAUAGAAAAAUUUUUCGAAAAAAGUAAAUAGAUGCCCAGUUUAAUACAUAUUCAUCCUAUUUUCCAGGCAUUCCUAUGACAACUCCAUCCUGGAUGAACGAAACUUAAUUUUAAUCUCCCAAAGUUCAAUCAAGAAGAACAUCUAAGAGGCCACCCAUAUAGGUACUUAGUUUGUGUAACUAAAUUUCAAUAGAUUGUCAACAUGAUACACUUCCUAUCUUGCAAAAAUAUCACAUUUUUCACAAUAAAUGAAACUCAAUCCAGGGAAAGGUCUUGGUUUAACCUAGCAGAAUGAAAACAUCAAUUAUUAAACUUGUUCGUGAAAUUAAAAAAAAAAAUCUUGAAUAGAAAAAUAAUAAGAAAAAGAGCACAAUUUUUUCCACAUCCCAAAUUAAAAGGGCGUGAUUUUCGUGUUGAAUGAUUAGCUGCUACAAAGUAGCAAAAAAGAAAUCUAAUCCAGCAGAAGGAAAAAGUAAAAAAGAACCAUUAAUCAUUCAGCUUUCCCAGCUCGAAUUCUAACAUAUCCAAUCUUAUCCGAGCUAUAAUCGAGCUAUUAAGGUUAUCAACAAAGUCGACCCUCUGAAUCGAAAAAAAAAAAAACGGAAUACUAAACGAAACCAAUCCCAGUCCUCCAAUAUUCCCACUAGUUUAAAUCUAUAGGACCAACAAUCAAUAUAUAACAGAGAGAGGAAAGGGAGGGAAUUUAAGAGAGACCUUACCCUGUUGUUGUUGUUGUUGUUGUAGAAGGCAGCAGCUGAGACUAAACGUGAGAGCGGAUUGAACGAGACUUUUGGGGCAAUCAAUCGAACAGAUCAAAGAAAAGAAAAGAGGGGAAAGGGUUUGCGAAGCUGCAGAUGAACUAUCCACUUAUCUUCUAAGAUUAUUGCUUUGAACCGCCAUAUUUUUCCAUUCUAUGGGCACGUUACGAUUGGAUGGCGCUUCCAAAUAAAAAAGAGACUAUUGCUUCUUCUUUUUUCUUAAGCCCAAAAAACAAUUAAUUGGACGGAAGGUUCUGGCCCCUCGAGUACAAACAUUUCAAGUUUUGUUCCGCCUAUGAAUUUAAGAAAUUAGUAGUGUUACAAUAAGGAGAUUUUCACUAAUCGAAAACGGAAUGACCUUUCCUUUCUCCUUUUCUUUUCCUUUUUUUUCCCUGUUUGAGAAAACUUUGUUGGAUUGUACUUGCUAAUAAAAAGAAACAAAAGUUUAAUUGAAGAAUCAAUUAAAAAAAAGGGAAAAUUGUUCAAAACGUCUCUCAUAUUUUACAAGAUGACUUUUUUUGUCCCUCACUUUUAAAAGUAUAAUUUUACGUCCCUUACAAAUUUACAUUGACCAAAUUUGAUUCCUACCUAGGUUUCCGACUAGUUUUUGGCCGGAAUCUACCAUGUGACUUGCCUGUGAUCAUUUUUUAUGGGCAAAAUUAUCAAAUCAAAUUUUUACAUAAUUUGAUUCAUAGUCCCUCACAUUUUACAAAAUAAAUUUUUUCGUCCCUAAUAUUUUAUAAAAUAAAUUGUUUUGUUUCUGACAUUUCAAAAAACCCACGUAUAUGUAUAUUUGAUUCUACUUGAACAGUAUGAACAACAUGUAAUUUAUCUCUAUUGGAUUUCAGCUAAACACGUUAAUCGUAGUUAUACACAUGCUAUUCAAUAGAUAUAUAUAGGGGUUUAAAACUAAUAAUUUUGCUUGAAACCCAUGUAUAUAUUUAUAUGAUUUCACCAUUUGAACCUAUUCAAUAUUUGUAACUUUUCUCUUUUGGUAAUAAUUUAUUUAUUUAGUUGCAUAAUAAGAUCAUCUAAUUAAUGGGUUCUAACUCAAAUUCUAUAAUUGUGCUAACAAAUUUCAGUUUAAAUUUGAAAUUUCUACUCGACACUUUUAAGACCAACAUUUAAAUAAUUUGCCUUAUGAUUAUUUUAAAUUUUGAAAGUGCAAAUCAUUUAUUUCUUUUUGUCAUACUUUUCUUUUGUUUACUUUUUCAAUCCAAAUUUAAUUUGAUAUAAACACUCGAUAAUAUUUAUGAUUAAAUGUCUUCUUUAUUUUCAAAUUUCGAGUAAAAGAAAAUGAAUAUAACUGAAAGACUAACAAUUUUUUUAAACCUAUGUAUAUAUCUAUUUGAUUUCAUUUGAGUAGUAUGAAUAGUAUGUAAUAUAUCUCUAUUUGAUUUCACAUGUUAUUCGUACUGUUCAGAUGAAAUCAAAUAGAUAUAUACAUGGAUUUAAAAAAAAAAUUAUUCACACACAUGAUUAAUAAAAGAUGAAAAAAUUCAUUUUGUGGAAUGUAAGGGACAAAAAAUUUUAUUUUAUGAAAUGUGAGAGAUUAUGAAUCGAAUUAUAUAAAAUUUGAUUUGAUAAUUUUACCCUUAAAAUAUGAUCACGUGCAAGGCACAUGGUGAAUUCCGACAAAAAACUAGUCGGAAACCUAGGUAGAGACCAAAAUUGACCAAUGUGAAUUUGUAAAUGACGUAAAAUUACAUUUUUAAAAGUGAAUGACGAAAAAAGUUAUUUUACAAAAUGUGAGGGACGUUUUGAACUAUUUUUCCUAAAAAAAAUGCUGAAAGUGAAAAAUCAAAAAGAUGUUUGUUCUUUCACAUUUUCUUUUUGGAAUGGAGUUUAACAUUGUGGAAGUGAUGUUAUAUAUAUAUAUAUAUAUAUACUAGUGGUAAAAGGCAUACUCAAUGUGUGUGCAAGUUAGAAAUAAAUUGUUUCUUAUAUGAACUUAUUUUACAUAGAUUUUUUUAUAUUACUGGACAUGUUUUGUUCUUUUAUGCCUUUUUUUUUUCCUUAAGAGUAUAAUUAUGUUGUGUGUUUAUGGGUAGUUGUAUUGGAGAUAGGUAGUUAUGACGAAAAUAAGUUGUGUUCAGGGUAAAAUUUAGGUCCUAUGAAGGUAGAAGUGAAACAUGAAAAAGUUACAAAAAAAUGUUUACACAAAAAUUCAAGAUUUCCACUUUGUGUAUAUGUACUAGUUCUCAAUGCAUACUCAAUGCGUGUGCAAUCAAAAAAUACAUAAUAUUUUAAAUAAAAUUUUUAUUACUUAACCAAACUUUAAUCUUUUAAAUAUUUUUCAUAAAAUAAUUUUAUAUUAAUAGUUAUAAUAUUUGGGAUUAAAUGUUGAAAACAUAUACUUAAAUAGUUAAAAGAAAAAAUAGAUGGGUAGUCAAAGUAAAAAUAGUUUUUAUAAGGGUAAAUUCAUAAAAUGACAAUAAAUAUUAAGUUGAAUGUUAACCCCAAACUCUUUCCUCAACCUUUAUAUAUAGAAGUAUAGAUAUAGAUAUGUAUAUGUAUAUAUGAACAAAGUUAACAUGGGCCAAGGAGUGUAGAUUUCCUUUCUCUUCCAAAGCUGGGCCCAGUUUAACAUUUCUUCUGGACAGGACUCAGGGCCACAGCCUUUGGUUGGGCUUCUCAGCUGCAGGCGUGGUGAUGUCCUCGCAAUGUGCUGUUGGUUGAUACACAAAUUGAUUCUAACUUAGGUGCAUUUGAUAUAAAAUUAAAAUUUGAAAACUAAAAUCUGAAAUUUAAAUUCAUCAUUGAAUUGUUAAGUCUUAACUAAUAUAAUAUGAUAUAUUUAAGUGCAUAGCACGUUGAGUUAUUCCAUCACUUACUUAAUUAAAUUAGAUAUUCAAGUUUUUAUUAUCAAACGCGCAUGAAUAUGUUAAAAUCUGAAUCCAUUAAAUUUAAUUGUUAAAUUGAAUAAUCAAACAGGGCCUUAUAAAAUUGCUCCUUUUUUGAAGAGAACAAAAAAAAAAUCUAAGAUUUGUAUCUCUGGAUUUGUACGCAAGACUUCGGCCUGCAAUAGAGCAGAAACAAAAAUUCUAAAUUCUCUUGGCAGAUCGGAAGAUGAGAAAGGAAGAAUCAAAUCGAAUAGCUAGUUGAGUACGGUUUUAGCGCAAUUUAUUCUGCAUGGUUUCAUGCGAGCAAAGCAAGUUUGAAAGAUUGAAACAAAGAAUUUCUUACUCUUUGUAUGAGCUAGUUGAUUGCCAAAUCAUUGUACAAAGAAACUUUUUGUCAAGAUAUUGCAUUUAUUCUAUUAGUAAGUGAGUGGAAUUGUCACGCGCAUUUUUUGUUACGUCUAUGGAGUUCCUCUUGGAUACGGGAAUGAAGAAGAAUUAGUAGUAAUUUUCUUGUAAAUGAUGGCCGGGCAAAUUAUAAAAAGAAGGAAACAAAAAUGUCCCGUGAUCAUUCAAAGUAAGAUCUGAUAUUGCGAUGCGAACCUGGCCUAACUUUCGUGUCCUGUGGUUAAUUAUGAAUCAUACUAAUUAAAUUCGAUUUCUAGCUCUUAAGAUGGCUGGAUGAAACUGAACAAUCUUUGAUGGUUUUCAAUUAUGGCUCAGAGUAAAUGGAAAGCAGCUUUUUGGGAAUAAAACAAAAUUUACUGUAAUUUUAGAUUCACAUGAUAUUACCACAGAGAAUUCAUAUUUCGAAGAAUGUGAUAAUAUAUACUAAACGAAUUUUUUCAAUUUACACGCUAAUAAUUAUUAGCUUUUCUUAUAUUUAUAUAGUUCUUUCUUUAAUUAAUUUUACUUUUUUUUUCAAAAGCUUUUGUUGUGUUUGGAUUGCAUUUUUCGUCAUUUUUCAUGAAAAAAUUACUGUAGCGAUUUGAUAUAUGUGAGAAAAAAAGAUGAUAGGGAAAUAUGAUCACGGAAAACGACAAUAUUUUUCGACGGAAACAGGCAAUCCAAGCGUGGCCUUUGACAUUCAAAUUUUCUUGUGUUAUUUUAAAGAGUGCGUGUUGCUUUGACUUUUUCCGAUGGCAAUCGUUAGUUAAUCAUCACUAUCGAGACAAUUUUGUUAAUUACUAAUUAACAAAAUCAUCAUCGUCUCACAUUGACCAAAAGGUCGAAGAAAUGGACGGAAGGAAAGGAAUAUUCUUUUCAGAAGAUCUUUUAUUUUAGUUAAAAGAGUUGCGACACCACAACGUAACGCAUCUAACCUAAGACCUUAGGCUUUCCGACAUGUCAAACUGGGAGCAUGAACAUAAGUCCAGCCAGCUGCUAGCUAUAUAUAUACCACUACAAGAAAUCAAAGAUUAGCUGGUUUUAUUUGCUUUACACUUGACUCAUAUUUUCUUCCUUUUUUACAGAUUUCUUUCUCAUUAAUCAUAUUUUUUUUUCCAUUAAUGUACUACAGUACGAUAUUAUUGACUGAUGGAUCAUUUCUUCUUUUGUCUUUCCAUGAUUGUCAACAUCUUUUGUGUCAGGACUCAGCAGCAGUAAUAUACCAUCCUUGAAACGUGGAAUUAGAUGACGUUUGAUUAAACUCAAACGUGGGACACGUAACAUGAUCUAGUGGUCCUCCAAACUUGGCCUCAACAACUCAUAAGUAACCCCGCAGCCCACAGCUCAGACUUGCAAACAAAUCAGAUCCCUCCCUCACUUUCAACAAGUUACUCAGUUCCCACUGUGGACUGGGACUCUGCAAGAAGCAGUACCCCACCAAUAUUCAGACUCCUCUCUCCCACCGCAAUCUUCUCUUCUCGCCUUCCCCCACCAUAAACAAACACAGAGGAUCAACAACACGCCUUCUCUCGCAUUUCAUUUUUUCGUCGUACCAUAAUAUCUUUGGGCAUUCACUGUAUUGUCAGCUUUUCCCACCUCGACCUUUUGUUUCUGUUGGAAAACAGAAGAAUCUGAAUUCUUGUCGGGUUGCUCUUGAUUUUUCGGUUACUGAAGUUUUCCUCAUUUUCGCCACCGGGGUAGUGGUUGGUCUGUUAUUUUAGUGAUACACGUGAUUUGGGUCUCGAGUAAAAAUUUGAUCUUUGGAAGAUUUCUCGUUUUAUGGCAAUAUACAUGUGAGGUUGUUGGGAUCUUUUUGGGAAAAAAAGUUUUGCUUUUUGUAUCAAAUAGGUAUCUCAUAAAAGCUAGUGCUAUACCGUCUGCGUAUUCUUAAGAGUUCCUCGUACCAUAUUAUAUUUGUUGAGUCACAAUUUAAUAUUAUAUAGAACAAGAAUCUUUAGUUGAUAAUCAGGGGGGGUUUAGUAUCUGGUUUGGGUUCUAGGAGCGGGAUCGUUGCAAUGGAUUCCUGCUGUGCCACCAUGAAAGCAAAUGCCCAUCCUUCGCAAAUUAGAAGGGCUUUUGGCUAUGGAGACAGUGGAUUUCUGGGAAAGAAGAUCAAGGGAAGUCUGAAAAGCAAGGCUUCAGGGACCAACUUUUGCAGGAGUUUGAAAAGUACUAGUGUAAACGGGGCUAAAAAGAUCAAGCCUGGGGUGGCUUUCUCCAUCUUUACACAAGAUAUAGACCAAGAGAUUAUGGUUAGUGAACACCUCUUUGUGAAAUUUGUGCUUUUGGCCUAUAUGUGUGUCUGAGCGCGCUCCCGCGCGUAUCUUUCUCCUUAUUGCUGGCACAAUGAUGAAUAUUUAGAGUUGUUUUCUUUUAUUUUUCAUGUUGGAUUCAGCAAUUUGAAGCACCAGUAUUUGAUGAGAGUUCAACAGUAGAUCCUAAAACUGUAGCUGCAAUCGUUUUGGGUGGAGGUGCCGGAACUCGCCUGUUUCCCCUUACCAGCAAAAGGGCUAAACCGGCUGUAAGAACGGAUCCCACUAUCUUGGUUCCUACUGUUAAUAUCUAUGGCUGUCACUGUUGGUUUAUAUUAUUGUUUUUUUUUUUUUGGCUGCAAAAGUUGGACAGAAUUAUAGAAUUUUGUGGACUAUAGAAGGGUUAUCCAGUAAAGUGCAUUAAGAAUUUGUGAAGUUACAGUACUAUUAUCAUGAUCCAAAUUAUGCAAUAUGGAGACACAGAACCAAGAAAUUUUAUUAUAGUGAAACAUUUGCUUCUGAUGUGGAAUUGUAUUUCAGGUGCCAAUUGGAGGUUGUUAUAGGCUAAUUGAUGUGCCCAUGAGCAACUGCAUCAACAGUGGAAUACGGAAAAUUUUUAUCUUGACCCAGUUUAACUCAUUUUCCCUUAAUCGGCACCUUGCUAGAAUGUACAAUUUCGGAAAUGGUGUGAAUUUUGGUGAUGGGUUUGUGGAGGUAAGAUCAAUCGGGACCUUUUGGAAAGCACAUUUUUCAUCUUUAAGUAGAACUAGGAUGGAUAGGGGUUUAUAGUUGACCAUUGUUUACUCUUUCGACAAAUAUACACUAGGGGCACCAUUUUUUUUGUCCAUGUGUUAAGGAAUAUAUUUUAAGCACCCUGCAGUCGAAUCUUUUUGAAAUACAAAUAAACAAUUGCCUAACAUGAUGGCAAAGGCAACUUGUUGCUGUUCUAAGAGAAACUUUAACUGGAAAACAGGUUCUUGCUGCCACUCAGACAUCAGGCGAAGCUGGAAAGAAGUGGUUUCAAGGAACUGCAGAUGCUGUUCGGCAAUUUACAUGGGUAUUUGAGGUGCGUGUUUAGAAUUGUGCCUGUUACUGGGAAAAUUCCAAGUGAAAGCAAUAAAGCUUGGCCUUGACUUGUUUUUGUAGGACGCCAAGAACAAAAAUGUUGAACACAUAGUAAUAUUGUCCGGAGACCAUCUAUACAGAAUGAAUUACAUGGACUUUGUUCAGGUUUAUUUUCAUCUUUGGCUGUAUUCUUUCUCUAGCACUUUCUAUUUCUCAAAAUUUAGACAUUAAACAAAGUUAUACUCGCAGAAGCAUGUUGACACUAAUGCAGAUAUUACUGUUUCAUGUGUACCCAUGGAUGAUAGGUUCGUAAUCCAUCUAUCUUCCAAACUUCGUAUUUAAACCAUAUCAUCACCUCUCUCUGCCUCUUUCAUUUGAUAGAAUAGACUACAGACGAACCCUUAAAGUGGGUAAUGGAUCAGGAACUUAUGUUUUAAUUCUUUUCAUGGCAGUCGAGCCUCAGAUUACGGGUUAAUGAAGAUUGAUGGGACAGGGCGUAUUAUCCAAUUUGCUGAGAAACCAAAAGGCGCUGAUUUGAAAGCAAUGGUAUUUGAACUUGAAUCCCUUAUAGAUACUUUUUGACAUAUCCGGCUUAAGUUGAUAUGCAUAUCACUUUGGUAUUUUGACUGUUGUUGCUUGGUGAUUUUAAGUUGCCCAUCCUGAGCUACUCUUCUUUUCGGCUUGGAUACAGCAAGUUGACACCUCUCUUCUUGGACUUUCUGCAAAAGAGGCUAUGAAGUAUCCAUACAUUGCAUCAAUGGGUGUUUAUGUAUUCAGAACAGAUGUUCUGCUGAGCCUUCUGAGGUGGAAAUAUCCUUCCUGUAAUGACUUUGGCUCUGAGAUCAUUCCCUCAGCUGUGAAGGAUCAUAAUGUUCAGGUGAGAAUAACAGUUUACUGAUUUCAUAGACACAAUCUUUGUUGCCCAUGGCCUUAGGAAUUUGGUCAAGUGUUGGUCAGGAAACUUUUUACUAACUUGGUUUGGUGAUGAAAUUUUAUCAUCAGGCGUAUCUUUUUAGUGAUUACUGGGAGGACAUUGGGACUAUAAGGUCGUUCUUUGACUCCAAUUUGGCACUUACAGAGCAGGUCAUUUUCCAUUUUCUGAGAAUAUUCUUUAGUCUUACUGCAUUUUUGUUCAUCUAAUUUACUGUAGAACUUCAUCAUUGGGUUAAGUUGGAAGUUUCAUAAAAAACUUGCAGCUUUGGUUGUCAGAAAUCCAAAAUUCUUAUAAUUCAUGCCAAUACACAAUUGGGAAGAAGAAUUUUGUUUAAGAGAAAAAGUUUGCAGAUGGAAACAUGAAGCCUCCAGCACAGUAUGGUGGCUGCUUGCACUUUAUGAACCACUUCAACUAUAAUACAGAGCUUGGUUUAUUACUCUUGUCAUUUGCAGUUUGCCUGAUAUGGUGGCUCCUAGCAUAUUAUGAACCUAUUUGGCUAUUGCAUAAAUCUUUAGUACUCUGUCAAUGGCAGUUUGUAUCUUGGAAUUAAAGUACGAUUUUGAUCUUAAGAUUGGUUUUCAAUGGUAAAUAUCUAUCAGCUAUUCGCUUCUGAAGGACCUAAAAAGUCCCCACGCUAAUUAUAAUUUGUUUCUUUUGCAGCCUCCGAAAUUUGACUUUAACGACCCAAAGACUCCUUUCUAUACAUCUCCUAGAUUCUUGCCACCAACUAAAGUUGAAAAAUGCAGGGUAUGCUAUUAUGCUUGUCUAUCUUCUUAGAGCUUGUUUCUUGCACAUCUCACGAGUUUACUGGCCUUCUCAGAUUGUGGAUGCAAUCAUUUCACACGGUUGCUUUCUUCGGGAGUGCAGUGUCGAGCACUCUAUAGUUGGCGUGAGAUCACGCUUAGACUAUGGCGUUGAAUUGAUGGUGGGUAGAAGUAUCUUUAAUUGUAAGAAUUGCUUUUGGCCAACUUAAAGUUAAGGUUCUGUGUUUUCAAGAUUUACCAAUGUCAUGCUGAGUUUCUUAUACUAUCAUCAGUACCAGUUUUUUUUUUUUUUUAACCUUCAGGCAUCGUCAGUACCGGUUUACUCGCCGCUAAAAUGCUAUGUCAUGGUGUUUUAUUGUUUGUUACUUGAGUCUAAUCAGUGCAGUGAACGAGUUCAAUAGAUUAUUAAAUAUUAUCGGCAAAAUCUUAUGUUUUCUUUGAGUGCCAUGUGUACUUAUGCCAGAAGAUUUUUUCGAAUUUCAGGAUACUAUGAUGAUGGGUGCGGACUACUAUCAAACUGAAUCUGAAAUUGCAUCUUUAUUAGCAGAGGGGAAGGUGCCCAUUGGUGUUGGACAGAACACCAAAAUUAGGUGAGAUAUUAUCAUAACUUGCAGACCGUCACUAACCUGCAACUUGUUUUAGUAAAUAAAUCCAUAGACUGAACUCUGUUGCAGAUCUCAUGGCUUAAAAUCCCAUUCAUUCAUUCAUCGUCAGUAUAGUAAUCUUUCCUCUAGGAGACUUGGAUGUGCCUUUUAUCUAUUUGCUGACAAAUUUCUUUCAUCCUUGUCACUUUGUGUAUCAAGAAAUUGUAUAAUAGACAAGAAUACCAAGAUAGGAAGAGACGUGGUCAUUACAAAUGCGGAUGUAAGCCUUUCUUGCUUUCUAUUUUCUGUGCUUUGCUGGGAAUCCUUAUACAGGAGCAUCAUGCUGCAGAGGAUUUAUAAGUUUAUCGGAUGUUACAGGGUGUUGAAGAAGCCGACAGACCAGAAGAAGGAUUUUACAUUAGAUCUGGAAUCAUUGUCAUUCUGAAGAAUGCAACAAUUAAAGAUGGAACCGUCAUAUAAUGGUGUCAAGAUUAUCAGUUUCUGCAACGAUGAGGCCCCUGUAUAUGUAACUAUGCUACGUUUUUGUUGAGACUCGUUUAAGGUCUAAGUUUUGGAAUAAAAUUUAAUGAUGGCGAGGACUAUGCGAAGUGAUGCUUCUAAUCUGAUUCUUAGUUUCUCAAGAAUCAUAAUGCCCUGUGAAUAUAACUUUCACGGACGAAAUGGUUCAUCAUUUGGUCUCUCUGUUUCAUGAAAACUUUUCCAAUCAAGUAACGAACAACAGAAAAUCAGUGCAGAAGCUUUUUUUUUGUACCCCGAAAAAUCAUGCCAGUUUACAAAACAUUUUACGUCCAACCAAACGGACGAGAGAAAUCUUGAAGCGUUUUACAUCCUACCCCGAAACAAACCGUGAGAAUUCCUUCCAAGUAAAAUUUACUUGGAGACUGAUUUAUCCCAUUUUCUCAAGGUCCAAGAUUGUCACCAUCAUAGUUUCUAGCUUCCUUUUUUGGUAAUACAUUACUGUUUCUAGAAUACAUUCUUCGGAUUUUAUUCAGCCUUCGUGAUUGCUGGACGAUGAUGCUUGCUGUUGAAGAGCUUUCACUGAAGAUGACCUCGUAGCCAUCGCGAAGAGGGUCCAUUCCUUAAGUUAAAAAUUGCCAGAAUAAGCCACCUGCAGCCGCCCCUCCGCCACUGGCCGAGGAGUAAAUGGUUGAAUAGACAGUAUUGAACAACAGGUCUCUCUGAUUCAUGUUGAAGCCGGGAUCUUUUGAUGAUUUCCCGAAUUCUGUAAAUAGAAGGGGUUUUUGAAGAAUCUUCUCUGCAUCCUGAAUGUGGCUUUGGAGCCAGUUGAUCAAGAAUGAAAGUUGAGCUUCUUCACUUUGGCCAGCUAACCUAUCCAUCCAUCCACGAAUAUCCAAGAAUUGUAAUAGUACCAUGUUUUAAAAGAGUCAGAUCAGUUAUGAAGACAACAAAGAUCGGUAGUGCUAUAGUUACCAUGCAUCCGGAUACGAGUGAACCGUGGCAAAAUCAAUAUCCUUAAUUUGAUUACUUGCUAUGAAAUCUGUUCCUGCUUGAAAAUUUGGAUUUAAGUGCUGCUUUUGAGCAUUCGAUGGUCCAUAGAACCCUUCAAGCCCAGCUCCUAACAAGUGAUUUCUGUCUAUGGACUUCAGGUAGGAACCCAUUUCUGAGAUCCAAGCCUGCGAACGAGUGCAAAUCAAGUGAGUAAUGAAUCAACACAAAUCCCUUAGCGCUUGCCAAUUCUAUCGACCUCCUUUUGCAUAAAACAAAUUCUAGUAAGCGAUUGAAACUUGGAAGUACAAUUAUAGUACGAAGAAGUUAGCGCCCAAGUUUUUCUUUUCUUUUGUCUUUUAUUUCUCCCUUCCAAAUUUUGUGUACUUCCGAGGUGCAGCCCGUGACUCUUUAUGGGGCCAAGUUUAGUGCCCGUGCCUUCUUUUAGUAGGACGCCUGGUCACAACUAGACCAAGACAUCUUCUGAGGCCGAGGCCUAGCCAACAACUAGAGAAAUUUACUGCUGUAACAGAAUAUUCAUAAAUCCUAAUGUAAAUAAAAUCCCAAAGACAAAGUAUUAGAUCCAUAGUAAAUUGUGACCAGCAAUUUGGUCUAUUGUUCACUACCAAGACUUUAGGUCUUAGUUAUGGAUGGAAGGUCAAGAGUUUAAAUUUUACUUUCCACAGAUCACUAUUUGUGAUUUACCACUUCUGUGGCUUCCUCCGAUGGGAACGUUUCCCACGUUUCCCAUUGGUUAGCUUCUCCCUCCCCCUCGAAUAGAUUGAGUAGGUUAUACAAGGAUGGUUAUAUAUCCUCAAUUAUCUCAUACUUUGAUUAACAUUGCUAGUAAUUUCUUUGGGACGUAGGACAUGAUGAUGAUGAUCUCCAUUUAUGGGGAAAAAAAAUUCAAAAUACAAACUGCUGCCCACACAAGGCUAUCAAUGUAGUCAAAGAGGUAUUGAUCUAGUGAUCAAAAUUGAAAUCUCAGAACUGGAUUCAUGUCUCUCUGCCCCCUCCCUGCUUCUUAAGUCUCACCUCUCUGCAAAUGAAAAAAUAAUAAUAAAAAAAGCCUAUCAAUGUAGAAUUAGCCACUCUCCCUAUUCUUUUGCCAUGCAAUGUACCCAUGUCCAUGCUAAUGGGCCAAUUUGGUGAAAUAAGGCAAUUAUGUGUCUUCUGUUUUCCUGAUAGAUCAAUAAAGGUGUAUACUUUGAAGAUGUUCAAUUAUAUGUAUGAAAAGAAAUAAGAAAUUAAGGAGGUAUAGUUGAACAUUCUAACCUGUAUAGUUUUGCCUGAUGCAUCUGUGGUGCACCUUGGUUCGUUCAUAAGCUCCCAAGCCAUUAUUAUGGGAUCAUCCUUGUAAAAUACUCCUGUGAUGCUAUUUUGUCUGGUUAGAACAGCCUGGCCAAAACAGGAACUCAUGGCUGAUAAGUAUGUUCUCGUUACCACAAUCAUGAAAAUAGUAAUGCGGAUAGAAAUGCUAAAAUAAAAAAAUUUUGUUCUUUUCUACUUUGUCCGUCAUAUCUAUUAUACUGACUAAUUACAAAACACAAGAAUUCUUAGAAAAAAAAAAAAUCUUUUCCAACGAAUGUGAAUGGAUGAAAACGAUGACAAUAAAAUGUUUGGCUAUACCAACCUUGAUGUGAUCUUUAUAGUAGCCUUUGACAACAGCAUUUGUGAAGAAAUCAUCAUCAGAAUUCAGAUUCUCACCUUUACUUCUAGCCCAGUCUACAUAUUGCUUCUUUCCUCCAUAAUUGUCAUAAUUGUUUACCAAGCUUAAUAUCAGCCUUAUUCCGUACUUUCUUGCUUCAGAGAUGACAAGGUCCAAUCCCUUCAACAAAUUCACAGAAGGGAUCACUUGGGAGCAUGCAUUCUAUAUUGGCUUCUAGAUGUUAAAGCAAGUUGGUUAAUUAAUAACAAAAAAUGCACAAAUAACAGAAACGGGGCUGACCUGAAACAUCUUUUCAUUGUAAUUGCCAGGAGAAAACUGCAAAGGGAAAUCACCUCCAUCAUUAAAAGCCCAAGUUCUUGCAACAGUAAGGCCAUGGCUAACAGCUUCUUCAAAUGCAGUAGAUACUUUGUUUUGCUUAGAUGGGUCAGAGCCAAAGAUCAUCAACCAGUAGGCAUUGAAACCAUUUGCAUAGAAUGGACUGCCUUCUUCUAGAAAUUGUACGCCUUCAGUUCUGAUAAAUUCAUCUUGUGCUGAAACUUCCGAAGAGGUUCGUCGGUUGUGGAUCAAGAACAGAAAAAUAAGAAAAAAGGGACCAAAGUGCUUCUUCAUUCUUGUUUUCUGACAGUGUUUUAUUAGACCAGCAAAUGGGAGAUUUUAUACACUGUAAUGUAGUAAAACUAGUGUGUUUCCUCAGGUGGAGGAAGGAUGAACUUAUAAACUAAUAAAAGUGGAGACGACAAUUACAAACAAACAAAUGUUAACAGUUUUUUGCUGUGUUAUAUUGUUGUCCAACCUAGAUGCUUUUAGCUUGGUGUAACCCCGCCCGAAUCUUGCUUGCUUUCCCUGGCAAAAGGUAACUCCUCCUAUGGGCAAUUCUUGUACUGACUUGUUUCUGUUGUGAAUAUACCAGAAUCAACAUUUUGCUAGGCUAUCGUAAUAAAAUUCCUAAAACAUCAACCAUUAAAUCAUCAAUUAUACGGAAUUCGAUACCAGUAUAUCCUGAAUUUUUUGGUGAAUAAAAAAGUUUAGGAGCUGGGGAGGUAAAUGCAUUCUAAGGUCACUGAAUACUCCAACGAGAUUCUUUUAAUGUAAUGUUGGAGAGGAAUCGUCAUACUCGUACCCGUUGGGGUUAAAAUGAGACAAAACAAAAUGGGAAUCCAAAGGUUUUGAGGCACAUUAAGCUAAACGACUAACCAACAGAAUCCAUCUGUUAAAAUCGACCCAAGGGUUUCACAUUAUUAAUCUUGACGUGAUCAAUCCAUGAUGGACAAGGGUACCACGUUCAUAAUCGACAAGGGAGCUAAAUGUUCAUGACCAUUAUUAUACUAUUAAUCAUAGUUAUUAAACUCGGCCCGGAGAGAAGACCGGCGAAGGAGGUGAGUCAACGGAUCACUAGUUCAACUAGUAGAUAAGUGGUUGAACCAGUGGAUCACUAAAUAUAUUUAAAUAUUAUGUCUUAUAAUUUUUGAUAUAGGAUAUAUGAUAUAAAUUGCAACAAAUAAUGUCAUAGCAAAUGUUCAUUUAAUUUAAUUUGCUAUAGAAUAUUGAAUUCAUAUAAGAAUCAGCAAAACAUAAAUUUAAUUAGUAAUCCAUCAAACUUCAAGUGUAAAAUUUUAUAUGUUUAGUGUAAUUAUCUAGGUUAGUUAUCAAUUUUAAGUACAAAAAAUUAUUAAAAAUAAUAUUUAUCUUUAAAAUAAAUUAUGUAAUAUGUUAUUUUUUAAAUCUAUUUUAUAAUUUAUAGAAUUUAGGGGUCAUAAGUUUUUAUUAAAAGAUUCCAAAUAAAUUUGUUUUGAAGAAAUAAAAAAAAUAAAGAUAAAAUUGACAAAACGUUCAUAUAGUGUAAGAAUGGUAAUUAACUAACAUGUGGCAAAGUGGUAUGGUGGUGAGUAUGUUUGGAACGAUUUUUUUACUCAAAACCGGUUUGCCCACAAAAUCGGCCGGGUUUUCGAUUUAAUUUGAUUGAAUCGUAGGUUGUUUGAAAAGUCAACGGUUCACUUGCAAAAAUGAUCUAAUUAGCGAACCGAUCCGAUUCAAUGACUGGUUCAUCGGCUUGAUCGAUCGAACUGUCGAGCCUGGGCGCGAAUUUAAUAACUAUGCUAAUAGUCUUCACGAAGACGAUUGGUGAAUGCAAAACGUUUUCUAUUUUGUCUGUGCUUGCAUUAGUUUAUAUUGGCAGCUAGUUCAGGGACAUUGACAUGGGUACCACACUUAUUAGUUACUGCACUUAUUUUGUUUCUUGUUCUUGUAUUGAAGUUUAGAAAUUACGUAAUGUCAUUAACAAAAAUUUAGGAUGCCAAAUACUUAGAAAUUACGUAAUGUCAUUACUGCACUCUAUUUUCCCUGAACAAAAAUUUAGGAUGUCAAAAGUUUAGAAAUUACGUAAUGUCAUUACUGCACUCUAUUUUCUAUUUCAAAUGAAGUGUAUUUAUUAUUAUUAUAUGAUAUCUUAACUCAUUCGUGCAAAUUCAACAUCCGAAAUUGCGAGGUGAUAAGGGCUUCAGAUUCAUUUCGGGGUGAGGCUUAGUGAAACAAAAUAAAUAGUUAUGUGGGUGGGCUUUUUGAGGUUAAGCCGCGAGUCUUUUCUCUGCGACCAUUCCCAACUUCUUCUUCCAUUGUGAAUCCAACAAUUGUCUCUACAAGGUGAAAUUACUAGAAUUUGGAUAAAAUUGCCUAUUACCAGAAAGAAAGUCGUAAAUAUAUCUAUACAUGGUGAGAGGAGAUUAUGGCAAAUGAAACGAGGGCAGCUACAAUUAUUACAGUGCUGGCACCAUCUCUCGAAUCUUUGUUCACCUUUCUUCGGAGUUGAAUCUGUUCCAUGCAGCCUGCAUCUCGAAGGACUACUAGAUUAGAUGAACAAUCAUAUACAUUUAUCAAACAAACUGAUGGGAGAAAGGUCACAGGGAGAAAAUAAAAAAAUUUAAAAGGAAUCCCGCAAGACUUCGAAAAAGGUUAAGGUGACCAUAUAAGAGGGUGAUGCUAAGUCUCAGUGACGGAAAAUGGCUACAUGUCGCAGACUAAUUGUUUUUCUCCCUCAAGCAAACAAGUCUCAAGUUUGGAGUCAAGACUCAGCAUAGAAGCAAAAACAUGCACCUUGAGAAGAUCAAAGACUUUUUCGCAUAUGUACUUUUGCUGGAUGCUUGCCCCCCUUUGCUGUAACUUGUCAGGAUGAACAUAAAGAGUUGCCUUCCGGUAAGCUUUCUUCACAGCAUUAGUGGUUAUAAUCUCUGUCAGGGAAAUUGACUGCCAUCCACUGUUCGGCCCAAGAAUCUGUAUUCAGUCAGAGGAUUAUCAGCCAAUGCCUAAUACAAUCAGCAAUUAGAAGGGCAACAACUAACCCCACAUGAGAAGCAGCAAAUCAUAUCAAUAGUCAACUUCUUGCAUGCACUCACAUCCACCAAGACACCGAGGGAAAAUACUAGUGUCAUUGUAAAUCACGUAUGUAGGAUCACACAAGAACUUCAAGCAUCACAGCAAGGAACGCACUAACUUAACAUCAAAAUGAGAUCAAUUGGAGUAUUUUCGCAGCAGUUUUUAAUCAAUUUGAUGCAAUAGUGAAGUUUGACAACUUCCAAAAUCCAGUUAAUCAGAGUUUUUAUUUUUAUUUUUUUUUCCAAUUUUGAAACUGGAACAUCGCAAGACCAAAAAUGAAGAAAACACUGACGCAACAAGGAAUCUGGAAACAUACGUAUUGGAGAGUUGACAGCAGUGCCCGCAUGUUCCCCUCCUUCCCACUGGCCCAUCGCUUAAUAUCUGCAUCCAGAGUUUCUGCUAGUCUCUGUAUUUCAGGAAUACAAACAAGCUGGUGAGACAAAAUGCAUAAUCUUUUAUAGGGGAGGUCAAAUAGUAAGGGAGAAUUAUUACAUUUCUCUCGGCUUGCUCUCUCUGAGCAAGAACAUCUCGAAGGUUCUUCUCUGCAAGGGCUUUUGCCUGAAAAGCAGACAUCAGAACGUUAUCAUAAAUAAGUAGGCCAAAGUGAAUGUCCAGUAUUCUUAAAAAUUAUGAACACAACAAAUGCGUACCGCUCUUUCCAUGAUUCUCUGAUGUCGCUCUAACCUUGCUUUACGUCUCUGAGCUGAUUCAUUAUUGGUCCCAUCAAAGCUCUCUAAAUCCUGUCGGAUAUACAUGUAUCAACCACUGGAGAUGCAAGUAGAUAUCACACUUUAAGAGAGAAAUGAAAAUUUCAUGAAAGACACUCACAGAUGAAGAAAAGCUGUGUUUUAACCCAUUAACUCUGGAAGCACCAGAAAACUUUCCAGAAGCAUUUCUUUCUGCCUGCGUUCUCAUCUCACUGGUAGUCUUCUGGGACAAUGCUUUUUCGAGAGCACGCUCACGAGCCUCUGCAGUAGCUCUCUCUACUGCAGCACGUUCUGCCCUAAGCUUGGCAUCAAUGGAAGAAGCUUUACCUGUUGGCACCUUUGGCCCAGCAGACUUCUUCUCAAGCUUUUCCCGUGCUUCGGCCAUUGCUCUUUGUCGAACUUCAGCAGUUGCUUUGUCCACAGCAGCUCUCUCUGCCCGUUCUCGGGCUUCAGCAAAUGCCCUUUCACGAGCUUCACGAAUUGCUCUUUCAACGGCUAUUCUGUGUUUUUUCUGUUCUCUUUCCCUCUCGUUUACUUCAGAACUUUUAAGGCAAUCCUUUGCUGCCUCUUCUUUUUGCACAUUUUCUCUGAUUUCCUUAUCUUCCAUCGCGAAGGUUUUGCAUCCAUUCUCCUCAUUAUGUUCUGUACUUCGGCCUGUUUUCAUCUCAGUAUUAGUUUCCACAUGUUCUUCCCAUUUAAGCUCCACAGGGAAUUCAGAAUUUCCUGGUUCCUUUUGGCUCUUGAUGCACUCUCUUUCUUUGAGAUGUAAUUCAAUAGUAUCCUUUUCAUCAUCUUUCUCAUGAGCAAUGCCAUCCACAUGGACACUUUCUGCAUUUCCCCCAGAUUCAUGAACUAAACCAUCACCAUUUGCUGGAUUGAUGCCAGAUUCAAAUCCUCUGUCAAUUUCUUCACUUUGUUUUUGCCCAUACACUUCGUCAACCCACCCGGCACAACUUUCAGUUUUGAUAGAAUUUUCAGAUUCAUUGUCAUUGUUGUGAAUUUGUUUCUGCCCAUUCAAGUUGAUGAAAUCAAAAUUUGAUGAAUCUUUAACUUCGGAAGGAGCAUCAUUUGCCCGUUCACCAUCUACCGUGUCCUCUGUGGUGCAAUUGGAAAUGAAAACAGUCGUAAUAGCUGUCUCUGCGUCCUUUGACAGUUCUGCCUCACAAUUAACCUUUGUAAAACAAAAAUCUGCUGUCUUUUCAAUAAAAUCAACAACCUCAGAGACAUCUCUUAUCUGGCUCUCCGUUGUAUGCACUUCUUCACCCUUCAAUGUGGAUGCCUCUUCAAUGUCCUCGGUUGCUUCCGGAUCCUCUUCAAACUCAUAAAAAGAUUCAGGGAUCCCCACUUUGUGAGCCUCCUCUUCAUUGUUUCUUCUUUGCUGUUGACUAUUUGGCUCACUGCAAUUUUCUACUUCAGAUCUGCAUGCCUCCUGAAUGUCAUCUGGGUUGACACUCUGGUCGUUGUAUGCAUCAAGAUCCGUAUCAAGACUCUCCUUGUAAGCAGCCUCCUGAAAUAAAUUUGCCCCAGGAUUUUCUGCACUAUCUACUGUUCGGUCCCAGGAGUCACCAACUUCUUGAACCUCUUCAUUGACUUCUAUCUUCUGGUGCACUGAGCUGUUAUCAGCAUCUUCAUCCAUACUAUCCUCUUCUAUACUUUGGCAACUCCCUGCAGAUCUUCUAUCAAUUGCUUCCCAUACAUGCUCUUCCUCUGACAUAUUCUGGUUUUCUUCUCCAUUACCCGAUUGCAUUGAUCUCAGCCCAUCAGUUUCUUGCUUAUAAUAACCUUCCAACCUAUCCUCAGAAUCAUCUUCCAGUCCCUUUCUGCUACAUAUACAGCAAGUGGCCCUCUUUAGCGCAUGUUCAUUACCAAACCAUAGAUGAAAAUCUUCCUGCUCAAGAUCAACUUCUUCAUCCACUUUGCAAUCUUCUUGUCUGCACACAUGAAUAUCCUCCAGUUUUUCCUCUCCUUCCUGAUCAGAGGACCUUUUCUCUAGCUUCAAGAAGUCAUUUUCUUGCAAAGGAUUCCCCAACUUUUCAGGCUCAAAGUGUCCUUCACUUAUUGUUUCGUUAAAAUCCUCAUGCUUCUCCUUGCAUUUUUGCUCUUCCACUAAAUUAGCUUGUCCGUUUUUAGUUACUUCAUCUGCUUGGGAAAAUAUCUGGGUUUCACUUAAUUUGUCUUCGUUAGCAAACGGAGAUGACUCAGAACUGUCUACAUUUUUUUUCAACUCCUCUGACCUUCCAAGUGCAUUUAACUUGGCCUCUGUAUCCCCAGACUCAAGGAUUCUGUUAACAGCAUUUACUUUCUCACUAGCAUUCAAGUCCACGGUCACCUUAACCAGAUUUGGCUCUUCGAUGCUAUGUUUUUCUUUAUCCAAAGUUUGAAUAGUGCUAUUCCUCUUACCUACCAGCUCAGAGGCCAAAGCUGCCACUCUAUGCUUUCCAUUGCUAAGCAGUUGAGAAAACCACGUUGCCACCCCAUUUCCCUCAGAUACUUCAACAUUUUCACCAUUUAUUGCCACCACACCCUGUCGACCUGUAGAAGACUCCUCACAAUCUUUGAAGGGUAAAGCAACUUCACCAUUUCCAAAUGCAAGGUACUGGUCACCUCCACAGGAAUCUGGCAUUUCAUUAUCUACACUUCUACAUGCUUCAUUCACAUUUUUCUCUCUGACAUUGUGUACUUCCUGAACAUGCUUCAUUUCCCUUGCAUCCUUAGUUUUUAACCUCCCCUUAGAAUGCAGUUUAGAACUUUGGCCAGAAUCUCUUUUUCGUUCCAUUAUUUCCUUCACAAUUCUUAUGCUUUCUUGGGCCUGCUCUAUGGCUUCUUUUAAAGCAGCUGCUGGGGCAGCAGCAGCUGAAUUUAUGUCAAGUUCCUCAUCAGAGAAAGGAGUUGAAUAACCACCAGUAACCUUUUCAGAAGCCUCAACUUUAGGAUCAUAACUUGAAGAAUUUGAUCUGUUGGUGUGCCCCUUGCUAUCAAACAGAUUGGCUGAAGAACUACAAGGUGGAGGCACAUUAUAAGGAUGUGACUUCAUGCCAGGUUUCUCCAUAUUUGACGGUAUAUCGCUCGAAUUGGAUGCAUCCUGAUAACAUUCGCCUUUAUCUUUAACCAAACUUUCAGAAGAUUGUAUCGUAGGCAGUUGCCAUUUGGCUCUCCUCCCAGAUUUUUCUUCAGAGAUGUCAACAUUUGAGCUCCUAUUAUGAUUAACUUCUAACUUAACUUGGGGCAUUGCCUUAUCCUUUUCUCCUUUUUGCUGACGAUCACUGCAGUUCCUGUUAUGAUUAACAUCGGAUUUGACUGAAGGAAUAGCCUUAUCCUGUUCCGUCUUUUGCAGACAGUCACCGGAGCUCUGGUUAUGACUAACUUGUGUUUUCAAUGGGGGCAUUGCUCUGUCCUGCUCUGUCUUUUGCAGACAGUCACUCAAGUCCUGGUUAUGACUAACUCGUGCUUUCAAUGGAGGCAUCGCCUUAUCCAAUUCUGUCGUUUGCAGAUGAUCAAAGGAGCCCUGUUUAUGAUUGCACUCUGCUUUAACUUGAGAUAAUGCCUUAUCCUGCUCUACCUUUUGUAAACGGGCAGUUUCAUCAAUUAGGCAUGUAAACCCAGGAACAGCAUGGAGUUGAGCUAUGUGUGUAGUGCCGUUGGAACCAUCUUUCCUCUGUUGGCCAGUCUUAUGAUAAGACAUAUUAAACUGCUUUCCACCAUCAACAAAAUCCUCAGAUGCUUCAGAUGAGUGGCUUUUAUUCUUCUCAGAAGAAUAAAAGUGAUCUGAUCCUUUUAGAGGAGGACACGGGUCUGUUGAGAUCCUAGAAAAGUUGAAAAGAAAACUUGAGGUAGUAAGAUAAGGUGCCAAGAAAAUUUUAGAAGAAAGCCUUGGAAGUAACCAGUACUUGUAUGUGAUCUGACAUACAAGUACAUUGCUACAGAUAAUCACUGUAAACAUGCAACCCCAGCAUCCAUAUAACAUCACUAGAUGCUUCAAACACAUGCAAUAAAAGCUGCUCCCUUCCUGCCUUUUGCCCUAUCCCUCUAACAACACAGAGAAAAUCACCCCAGAAAUGCAUUCAUUGUACAUAAAAUAUGCACUUUUUGUUUGUCGAGAAAAAUGAUAAUCUGCUAAAAAUCUUAUUUCAUAAGAAGGUUGUCAAACACCUGUCCCGUGUAAACCAUAAGCUUUCUUUUAUCAGCUGAACAACACCUCACAUUAGCGAAAAACAAGAAGAUGUGUAAUUAAUUCUUCUAAACAACAUCUCACAUAAGCGAAAAACGACAAGAUACGUAAUUAAUUCUUAAAGCAACAAGAUACAGCAAAAACUAUCAAAACCUCCAGCUACUGCAACAACCAAAAUCCCAAGAAUCAGGCUUGAAACAGCAAAUUUAAACUUUUCAUAAUCGUAUAAACCUGCCACAUAAUCAAACUGCACAGGAAAACCUUCUAAUACCUCAACAUCUGAAAGAAACAAUAGCUUACAGGAUAUUAUUGAGACACAUUACCCAUUUUGGCAUGACCAGUCCAAAUUUUCCCUAUUCUACCAAAUGUAUAAAAUAUACAUCAUUCCAACAAGGUAUCACUAGAAACACAUUUACUAACAAUAUUCCAAUUCAAUCUGCGAGCUGCAACAAAGGAAAAUCUAUUAUAGCACUUUCCUUGAAAAGAAGAGUCCACGACUAAAACACAUACAAAGACGGAGAGAAGUUAUACGAGAAAAGUUCGAAUUUUUAGCAGGAAUGGAGAAGAUAAGUAUCAGUAAAAUCUUCAAGAUUUAAAUUUGCUUUCAGCAGCCAGUAAUGUCAGCUAAAGAAAACUCUAUCAUUCUCAACAUUUCAACAGAAAACAAGAAAAAAGGAGGACAUUUUUCACUUCUUCCUGGGAAGAUAAGCAAGACCCUUCAACAAACUAAGCAUUACCUCAAGAACCCAGAAGGGAAAGGACAAACAAAAAUUCAACUCUAAUAUCCCCAAAACAAAAAGGCGAAAUAUAAAAAUUACCUAGCUUUAGCUUUAUCGCGCUUGACUUUUUUAACUCCAUUAAACAACUCUUCACAAGGCGGCACAGCCAUAGCUACAUUAUCACCAACAGCACCACCACCAAAGCCUCCAAAAAUGGUCGAAUAGUCCAGCUUGCUAUUGGAGCUCCGAAACCCACCCGAGCCAUGUCUUUCAUCCAGGUCCGACAGGUCAAGAACCGGAAUAGAACUGCCACGUGUACCAUUUCUGCCACCAAAAAUUUCAGCGUAGUCUUCAGCAGCUACUUUUCUUGAGGCAAAUCCCGCAACAGCUCCGAACCUCGGUUUAGAGCCACCGAGCAAAACAUCGUCGUAGGCGUCUUUACCGGAAAAUGACAAGCCAUUGCUGUUAGUGCUACUGGCAUUAGAAAGCUUUCUUCUGUGGUGAAAAAAAGGCCCAGUCAAAGACUCCAUCGAAGAGACAAAAAUUUCUUCGAGCUUUAGCCUGGCUUUUUCUCUUCUGGUAAAAACGCGUUUUUCAAAGUUUCUCUGAUUUAUUAUUAUUAUUAUUUUCUACCACUCUUCUUCUUCCUCGGUGGUCUGCGUUAAGCCUCUGCAGGGAAAACGCUGCCCUGCAGAGCCAGACAAAAGGGGGAAGAGAAAAAAUGAGUGGGGUUAGAAUAACAAAAUGGAGAAAUGAUUUUAAGUGCUUGCUCGCUGUAUUGGGGCUGUGCUGGCAUUUGGCAAGCAGGGAGUGACCGGUUUUGCCGGUGGGGGAGGCAGUGUGGCCCGUAUUAGAGACAUAACGUCGCCGUAAGGGUAUAUUUGGAAAUUCGGAUCGCACCCCGUUUUGAGGAAUUGUGCAGGCGUGAAUGAACUAUGAAGAGGUUGAGAACCAAUUUAGGACGGAAUCAUUUAUUUAUUAGCUCUAUUAGGCUAAUUAAUUAAACUAGUUUUGAACAAAGACUAAGGGUAUUUGUUUUGACUUUAAUUGUAAAAUCAUUAAAAAAAAAAGAAAAUUGAUUUCAUGUAUGAACUAACUGCGUAAGAGGAAGUUGGAUUGUAAGUUUGAAUAAUAUCUAGUAGUUGAUAAUAAAAUACUAUAAGAAUCUUCAUAAUUAAAGCUUGAUUUAUUUUCUCCAUUAUUGCUCGUUUCUUCUUCUUUUUUUCUCUCUUUUUGCACCCAUUGUUCUGGAGAAUAUUUUGAGAAAAUAUAGUGCAUAGAUAGCUCUGUUUGGUUAGUUAUUUUUUGAAAUAUUUUUAAAAACUUUACUGCAACUGUGUAUAUAAAAAACUUUUACUAUAAAUAUUUUUUAGAUUAUUUUUAGAGGCAUUUUUAAACUAUAUUUUGGGAUAUUUUUAUAAUUUAUAACUUUUUUAGGAUAUUUUUUAAAAAAAUUUUACACCACCCACCACUAUCCCCCCUCCUUCCUCCUCCAAUUUUCCUCGCUCUUCUCUCUCCUUCCCUCAUUUCCCCCAAUCCCAAACCUCUCUCCCACUCACGGGUGGUGGUUGCAAAUCUAACCACCACUUUAGUCACAACCUUCUUGGUCGCGACCAAAAGCCAUUGGUCGCGACUUUUGGCCGUGACCAGAAAGUUGUGGUCAGUGGAGGAGAAGGGGUACUGAAGGAUGAGGUAAGGGAAGAGAGAACAGAGGAAAGAGAAAGAGAGAGAGGAGGAUGAAGAAAAAAGGAGCAGGAGGAGAGAGGAGGGAGGAUUGUGGGUGUAGGGUGAUGGCGGUAAGGUGGUGGAAAGUGCUGGGUGACGGUAGUGUAUUCUUUUGUAUAUUUGAAAUUUUUUUUAAUAUAUUACAUGAAUGUAAUAGUGUUUUUGGAAUUAUUUUUUUUGUGUAUUAUUGUAAUAUUAUAUAUGAAUAAUUUGUUUUUAAAAAUUUGAGGAAACCAAAUAGAGCCCAAGUUAUUCAAGCUCAAUUUCAAGCUUGGCUUGUUAAAAACUUAGUAAAAAGUUAAAUAGAAAUAGAAAUAUAAGUUUGACUUUGAGGGAAGAGAGGGGGGGGGGGGUUGGAGAAGUACACAAUUUGAAGUAAAUUUGAAAACUGGAGUAAUAUUUGCGCUCGACCAAGGACAAAGAAGAUUUAAGGUAUGUUUGGAAUGUUGUGAUUGCGAAUGUGUUUGAAUAGUUGGUUCAUGGCUGUGGCCCUGUGGGAUGUUUAAUGCGUCAGCGUUUUUACGUGUAGUUUGGGAAUGGGGCCUUUCGUAGAAGUCCCUUAAAAGUUGUUGUACAGGAUUGUCAUUUUAGACAGCGGGUCCCUUGGGGUUAAUUGGGAGCUUCAGAGCUAUGUUUUCAUGCUCGAAUCGAGUAUCCACUCGAUUGAGUUCAAGGCUCAGGGUCAAUCAGAGGAUAUCAUAAAUAACAAUUAUUUUUAAAUUAAAAUAUUAUAUAUAAAAUAUCUAAGAACAUGUUAAUAUUAAUAAAAAUAUAUUUAAAUAUAUUUGAUGUUUCAAAUAUGUUUAACAAGAAAAUACAAAAAAACUAAAACGAUUAAGUAGCAAUUUACAUUAUUCAAUGAACAGUAAUAAGUUUAAAAUUAAAAUUAUGGACUUGAUUGAAAAAUAACACCAAACAUUAGGAUAACAUUUUAUAAAGUAUGAAAUAUUUGAGAUAUAUUAAUAAUUUAUAACAAUAUAGGAGUCAAAACAUAAUAUUAACAAUGCUUUGACCUUCAAAAAAAAAAAAACUUUGACACCAAACCGGUUCUUUCGAUUUUUUCGAUUUUUCCGGUCAAAUCCAAUUUUUGACUUGGUAUGACUGUGUUUCUAUCAAUGUGAUUUUUUAGGAUAAUUUGGAUCGGACACUUUGUCUGUUUUCGGUUCGACCGUUCCAGUCUAGUUCGAAUUUAAAAACAUAGAAUCAGUGUUUACCGGUACUAUUCUUAAUUGUGAAAAUGCUUCUCAUAAUAUGCAUUAGACAGGAUUUAAAUCCUCAACCGAAUAAUAUAUCAAAGAGUUUUAAAGGGGUUCUUGUUAUUUAUGGUCAUCGGACCAAGGUCAAUGGCUUCAACUCGUUGUUCAUUGGAUAUCUCAUUUUCGUUUAUAUAUAUUUUUUUCCAACAACGCAAAGUGGAAGAAAUCUCAUUUUCGUUUAUAGCUUUUCAUAUAUUUUGGCUGAUUAAUUUUGACUCAUCUUCUCAUGUCAUGAUUGCGAUUGCAAAGAGAUAGAAAAAAAAUGAAGGUCUUUCCCAAACGCGGUGACAGGCAAAUCGUUCAUUGGAAAAUUCAAACAAGAUGAUCAUUUGACAUAGAUGUUACAAUGGAACUAAAUAAUAGCGCGAUUAAGGAUUCAAACUUUACUUUUAUAUCAAUUAUAAUGAUACGCAAUUUCUCAAAAAACUCAUAUAGAUGCGUAAUAGAUAAAGUGACGAAGUGAUGAUGACAAAAAAAAAAAACUGAUCAUAUAUUUUACGCUUCUUUGGAGAAUCACUUAUGGGAGAGAGGUUAAUAUGCAUGACAACAUCCUAUAACCUAAUAAUUACAAACAAAAAAAGAAGUAAUUAUUACAACUUUUUGCUAAGGCUUGGAUAUAGUUGUCACUUUAUGAGUUUCAAACUAAGGAAUUAUCAUGUGUUGAAUUUUAAAAAAGCUACAUCGCUACUGGACUCUGCCAAACUGUCAUCCGCUCAGAUAUAGCAGCAUGCAAAAAUAGAGAAUUCAAUUUACUGCUCAAGUUUCAAAACUCGUAGUACAAAAAUUUAACAAGGUAACUAGACAAAUUAUUACUCCGUUUACUAAUGGCAACUUGAGCAUAGAUUGUCUACGUUUCACAAUAAUGAUUAUUUACAUGUAAAUCUUGAAGUGUGUGCAAUACAAAUUUCUGCAAAAUGGUUGAGCGGCUAGAUUGGCCUGAAAUUAAUUUAGAGUUAUACCCUAUUUAUAGUUUCACCUAGAGUCUCACUUUAAUUUGUUUUCCUUAAUGAUAUACGGUGUUGGAGCACAAUUUUUGUAGGUCAUUAAAACACAUAUAUUUCGUAGGCAAUUACACAAUUUUGUAGCUCAUGAUUUUUUUCAAAUGGAUAUAACAUGUUCUAAUAUAAAUGCAAGUAUGGAACAAAACAUAUUUAAGAGCUUGGAGCAAGCAAGGCAUUGUAUGUAUUAAAGUUAUAACCGUACUCUCAAUUACAGUAGCCAUGCAUUGGCCUUUCAAACUAAGGUUGUGUUUGGAUUGCAUUUUUUAUAAUUUUUUAUGGAAAAAUUACUGUAGCGAUUUGAUAUAUAUGAGAGAAAAAGGUAAUAGAAAACUGUGAUCACGGAAAAUAACGUAAUUUUUCGACGAAAAAUUACAAUCCAAACAAAGCCUAAAUUCCCCGUAUUCUCUCCAGAUUUACUUUUUCCCCUUGAAAGUACCCUGCACAAGGUGUUAAUAAUGACCUUGUCAAAUCAUGCACCUCACAGUUCUCAACUAGACUUGAUUUCAAGUGGUGGGAUGGUGGGGUUUCAUUCCUCCGGCACCAUUUGUUUGUUUAGGGGCGGCAUCUGCAGAGGAUUUCACAGCACAUUCAGAUGGGCAUCAUAUGCAAGACUGCCCUCUUCACUUUGCUUCCCAGUAAUCCAGUACUGUGUAUAUGUUCUCACUCAGCUUUGAACCCUUUUUUUUUUUUUUUUUCUGUAUUAAUCAUCUCCAUCAUUUCCAAGAGAAAUAAACCAGCUUCUAUCGAUCCGGUGAAAGAGCUAUCUGUGUACAGCACUUAAUUUGUAUAUACAGUUGCAAAUUAUGCUUGUAUAAAUCAGCAUAGUGUAGUCAUUCUAUAGGGGAAUUGAAUAAGCAUAAACAAGAUAGCCCCAAGUGAUUCAUUUUACAGAUGAAAACUAAGCUGUAGUAUCUUUAUUUAGCAUAAGGUACAGGAUCCUUUUUGGGUAGCUUUUCUCUCAAUGUUUCUAAUAGCGGAGAUAGGUACUUUUUCUCCAUGAACUGAAACAGUAAUUAGCAUUAGCCAUUCAAUUUUGGGAAAGUACAAUGAAGGUGGCAUUUGGUUUUGAACCAUAAUUAAUAAAGCACCGACCAGAUUCGUCUUUAAAUAAAAUAUAUUGAACUAUCUGAAUUAUUAGUAUUUCUUUAUUUGUGUCAAAGCCCUCCCAUUGACAUUCACAUCUACUAAAAAGAAGAAAAUGAUUCCGCCAGAGCAAGAAUCGCCAGACAAUAGAACUGCAACCAAUAAAAAAAAAAAAGUACAGCAGUAUUUCCACAUCGCCCAAAACAUGUUAAUUGUCCGGACACCUUCCAACAUGGCAGCUUAAUUGAAAAAUCAAACGCGAUUAAAUUUUGUUACCUUAUCUAACUUGAGGGUAUAGGAGAAUUAAUAUUUCAAAUUACUCAACCUUUUAUCUGCCAUAAACUGAUGUAUAUUGGCCAUAAUAAACCUCUUAGCGAAACACUUAAGAUUACUAUAUAUAUGUACAGUUAUUUAUAGAUUUUGUACUCAAAACCUCCUACUUACUUACGGGUUACCGUCUUUCCCCAAUCCAACCCUUCUCAGAAGCGGUUAAGUUGAAGCGGUAUGAAUUUGCACCACAGCUCAUUGACAGUUUGACGCCAACCAUGCUAACUUCCAUGAAAAUGGAAAUGUAUGGCUGGAUGCGACCUUUCCAAGAAAAACCAAACUUGGAGGCAAGGGGAAGUAAUCUUUUCUUGCACAAUGUAGACAUGGAAAUAGACGACCUUAAACCUCUGUUUUGAAAUUCGGACCGGACCGGCCGAUCGAACCGGAAACCGACCAGAUAGUCGGUUCGAAUCAUACUAAAAAAUCGGGAAUUUAAAACCCGGUCAAAGUCGGUCAAAAACCGGAUUUGACCGGAAAAAUCGAUUUUUCCAGUUCAACAGUGUUUUUUUAUAAAAAAAUUCAAACUUUUUAAUAUUAUGUUUUGACCCCCUAAAUUAUUAAAACUUAUUGAUAUACCUCAAAUAUUUGAUACUUUAUAAAUAUUGUCCUAAAUUUUGAUGUUAUUUUUCAAUUUAAUUUAUAAUUUUAAUUCUAAACUUAUUAAUAUUUAUUAAAUAAUAUAAAUUGCUACUUGAUUGUUCUAAUUUCUUUGUAUUUUCUUAUUAAAUAUAUUUGAAACAUCAAAUAUAUAUGAAUAUACCUUUAUUAAUAUCAACAUAUUAUUAAAUAUUAUAUAUAUAAUAUUUUAAUUUUUAAAUAAUUUUUAUUUAUGACGUCAUCCGGUUUGACCCCUAUCGAUCCCCGGUCGAACCCAUUGACCCCUGACCCCUGACCUCGGCCGAGUUGCUAUCCGGUCCGAUUCUGAAAACAUAGCCUUAAGCCCCCUUUUUUUUGGGGGGGGGGGGCUUUUUUUUGGGGGGGGGGGGGUUUGGACUUUUCUUUUGUGGGGGUAUUCCGUCUUCGUCAAUGGGAUCCUAGUAAUGAUUUUUGGUUCAUGCACAUGAAGAAUCAUUCACAGCCACGUUACAUGAACUAACCGUCAAAUACUUUGAGAGCUUAGGUUAGUUUAUUAGGAAUGAGAUCCUAUAGGACCCGCAUAAGCAUGGCACUUAAAGGCAUAUACUAAUUGACAACAAAUUUUAAACCACAGACAGGGAAAAAUCAAAAGUUGUCUCCUCAAGUGAUGGCCCUCCAUUGUUUAAAGCCACUUCUUUAUCAAAAGGGUGUCUUUUCCUAUGGUGGUAUUAUUAUUUGAAUUAUUGGGAUGUUAAUUGGUAAAAGGCUGUUCUCUUGUUGAUCCUGUCAUCAUUGCAUUCUAAUUCCGUUUCAAAGUUGAAACGAUUUAAUAGAGUACUAAUGCUCAUUCAACAAACAGAAGCGCUGCUUAGUGUUGAUGGUGAUAUCAAUAAAUUUUGUUAAUUCUAUCACUUUCCCCUGUUCUCUUUCCACCCUUAACUAUGAUUUAUUAGUCACAAAACUCAAAUCCCGAACCUUAAUUACUGUAUGCAUCAACAAAAUAAAUUUACUAAUUGAUGUGAUUGAUUCCCCAACUAGAACUUUUUAGGUCUCAUUCUCAACCAAGAUGUUUUUUCUUACAUUCUAUAUGCAUUGCAUACAACCACCUGCCUUUGGCCCGAUGACCACCACCAAUGCAUUAAGAUUUGGUGAUCAAUUUGCCACAACAAUUAAAUGUGGACAUACUUAAAAAAUCCAGACGGAUGCGUAGUGCGGUUCAGUCUCCUCCGAAUUAUCCCAGAACCUCUUCAGGCCCUCCCCUCCCCAUAGUGCAUGAAACUAUUGUAUCGAAAAAAAAAAAAAAGAUAUACAUUGCAUACAUCUCAUGCAACAACAAAAAUUAGGACGGGUAAAAAAUUGAGAAUUGAGGUAGAUUUGCCGAAUCAGUAUUCACAUUACCUUUAAUUUAUCAUUGAAAUAACUUUGCUUAUUCUUCUGGGACAGAACAAAUGUGACGAGACAGGUUUCUUGUGGAACAAAAAUCUAAUCGAACGAAUUAGCGCGGAGACAAAAAGAAAAAGUAAGAUUAAACUACUGUGAUUGGAGAAGUAAACUUUUGAAGAAUCUUUGUGAAAAGAAUAAAGUAAUCAUGGAAUGAGAGAAGCGAGAAAAAAUUAUUAAAUCAUUGGAAAAUUUUGAUAUCCAAAUUUGCUUUUCACUUUUGAUUUGUUUUCUGAAAAGAAACGUAAGCUAAUGACAAUCUGCUAGAUCCACUAGCUUUCACAGCAGAUCCGCCAGACAUCUUUAGUUAUAGAGAGAUAGACAUCUGAACACCAUUUUCUGCCAAUGCACACAAAGUAAAUAAAGGUAUGAAUUAGUCUAAUCAAAUCGAAUAUUUUUAUAUUUAAAUUUAUUCAAUUAUUUUAAUAAUUUUAAAAAUUUGUUCAAAUAUAAUUUAUUUAUAUAUCAAAUCGAGUUUGAGCGAUUUUUUGUUAUCAAAUUUGAAUGUUAUGAAAUAUAAAAUAUUAUUCAAUCUUGACUUGAUUAGUUAGCAAAUCAGGAUCAAACAAACUCUUAUCAAAUUGAGCUUCAAUUAAUUUGAGCAUGGAAUAAUUUGACUCAUCUUUCAAUCCGAGACGCUAAAUGAACAUUGGGCCAUCGCAACUUUAAAUUUGAUCGGGCUUGAGAUGAACUAGAGGUGGCAAUAUGGAUAAAUGAUUCAUAAUUGGUUUUGACUUAAUGGAUGGUGGAUAAAAUUUAUCCAAUCCAUUUAGAUCCAUUUAAUAAAUGGAUCUAAAUGGAUUAAAUAAAAACCAAUUAUCCAUUUAUAAUCCAUUUAAAUAUUUUUGUUACUUUUUUUUUGUAUUACCAUUUCUUGUAAAUUCAAGCCACAAAAUACCACGGAUGUAAAUUCAAGCAAAAUGAACCUUCAUUUCACUAAAAAACUAUCUGAAAUUAUUAUUAUUAUUUUUUAUUAUUAUAUUAUUAUAUAUGUAUAUAUAUAUUACAUAUUACAGAGUAGCCAUAUAUUGCAAACUAGCCCAAACAAUAGAAGUCCUGCAUAGACCGUACGUAGGGUAUCUACAAAUUCGGCAUCCAUGGAAUUUAAUUAUGGCCCAUAUUAUCUUCUACUUUUAGCCUUGACUGCAUUUAAAUUUAUCUCAAAUUCGGCAUUUCCCUCUCAAUUAAUUAAGUCCAAGAACAGAUACCAGUUUUCUGUUGUACUUUAAAAAAUAAGAGAGAUCUUAGAACAAGUAAAAGUUCAUAGAUAUAUGAUUCAAGUGGAUUAAUUAACCGAUUUGUAAACUUAUUAAUGUGUUUGUUACCAAAAAGAAAAUGAUCAAAUUUACCCCUCCUAAUUCAAAAUCCUCUCAUGGUCUGAUGUUGACCCACUUUCUUAGCAAAUGAAUUAGAUUUCACUAAGUGAAGAAUUAAAAUAAACUAGUAACUCACCUUAUUCAAAAAUGCAUUUAAAUGAAUAACUAUAUUUUUCUUGUUCUAGUUACUAGUUCAUGUAAGCAAAAUUUUCACACCCCAAUUGCAAUUUUAGGAUGGCUCCUUUUUUAGUCAUUUCCUUUCCCUCUCUUUUAUUUGGUUUUUAAGUAAAUGGAUAUAUAUGAUUUUAGUGGAUAAUCCAUAUAAAUCCAUUUAAUUUAAUGGUUUUACUUUGAUCAACCAUUUAAAACCAAUACUAUAAAUGGAUAAUCCAUUAUCCAUUUAAUUAUGAAUUAUAUGGAUGGAUAAAUGGAUUUCAAUCCAAAUUGCCGCUUCUAAGAUGAACCUACUUUAAGUCUUGCCUCCACCGAUAGUAUUUAUUAAAGUUAUGAUCCAUCUUUUGAUGCGCACGACCACGUUUUGUCAGGGUUUAUCCUGCUUGCUUUUACGGCUGAACAUGAGGAAAAUCUGUUUUAACAAAUUUCAAAAUGAUGGCUCCUCCAGUUUGCCUAUGUUUGGUAUCGCUUCUUCAAUUGGUAUACUUUUUCAUCGGAUAUUACCCAAGAUUUUAUUUUAUCUGAACCAAAAAAACUACCAUAUUUCCUAUGUAUUAAAGCACCAUUAUCUUUUAGUACAAUUACUCUAGUAAUUUCUAUCAUCAGCAAAAGAAAAUACAUACUCAUGUUUCGGACGCCAGUGUUGUUGUUGUUGUUUUUUUUUUAUUAUGUGCUAGACAUCAUCUUCAUGAAUAACAUAAAAAGCCAUUAAGAUAAUGAUAGCGCUGUAAUUUGAAAAUUAAAGAGAGAAUAAACAUCAAGAAAAUUUGAAAACAACAAUAAUUCUUCCCCACCCGCUUAUUCACUUCUCGUGUCUAAUGCACAUUAAAGAAAAAAGAAAAAGAACAGAGUCUAAUAAGGUGAUUAGUAUAACCAAAUAAAAACCUAUAAUGAUAUGUUUCUUUCAAACACAAUAGAUUUAGUUAAUUUUCAUGCAGAUAGAUUAGUAAUUCUGAGAUCAAAUGAAAUAUUACAUAUUACAUAUUAAUUGUUGAUGAGAGCUAAAAAACUUAACGCCACAACAACAUAAUGCAAGUCAAUUAGGGAGAAUUGAGUUGGGUGAUAAGGUGGGAGGGAUUAUAAACAAGAGAUUUUAGGUUCAAAUCCUCUUACUUAUAAAAAAAAAAAAAAGGAGAAAAAGAAAGAAAAAAGUCAAUUAAAAACUGGCACUUGGUUCCGCCCAUUUAUAUCCGGAGAAGCUUUGGACCAGAAGAAAAAGGCCGGAGCACAUAGAGAAAUGCGUAGUUCCAAAGGGUCCAAUCUCAAUGGCCCAAGAAGUCUAAUAUCCAGACCCUGUAUGAACCACCCAUAUCCUGAUCGGCUUCAGCACAAAAUUAUGGGUCCAAUCUCAAUGGCCCAAGAAGUCUAACAUCCAGACCCUGUAUGUAGGCCUGUCAAUCGGGCCUAAUGAGCCGGGCUUCGGGCUAUGAGUUUCGGGUUCAUAAAUGUGAAGCUCAUACUCAACUCACAUAAUAUUCGGGUUGUGAGUCUUAAUCGGGCUUAGCCCAAGCUCACUUAUUACUCCUGAAUUUUCUUAAUAUAAUUACUAUAACUAUUAAGUUGUAAAACUAAUUUAACAUUUACAAGACUAUAAUAUUAAAACUAAACAUGAACAAAUAAUAGUUCUUAAAAAGUAUAUAAACCAAAAUUUUUUCAACAAUAUUUAUAUGUAAUCCGUUUAAAAUGCAUGAAAAAUAGUAAUAAAACAUGCAAUCAUAAGCCAAUACAUCUUUAAAAGUUGAAACUUUUUUUUAUAAUCUUGUGAUUUAAAUCCAAAUAUGCUUGAUGAUUUUUGUGUUUGUAGACCAAAAAAAAAAAAUCAACCAAUAAUAUGCCAAUACAAAAAGUUACUCAACCAAUAAAAAAAAUUAGAGAUUUAGUUAUGCAUUACUAAUAUUGGCUCUCAAGAAAGCUCAUGAAAGAGUCUUUAGAUGUGUUUUUGUGUUUUGUAAUUUAUAUAUAUAUUUAGCAUUUAGCAAAAAUAUAUUUGGAUAUAUAAUUAUACAUAAUAUCAAAAUAUAAAUAUUAUAUAUAUAGGUAAUUAAAGGGCCGGGCCUAUAUCGGGUAUGAGUCUAAUAAGGCCCAAGCUCGGCUCAUAUUUAAUUCGGGCCUAAUUUUUAGGCUCAAACUCAGACCGGUUCACUAAAUGAUCAGGCUCAUCGGGCUUUUUGUUGGGCCGAACGAGCCGAGCUCGGGCUGGCCCAGCCCCAUUGACAGUCCUACCUGUAUGCACCACCCAUGUCCUGAUCGGCUUCUGCACAAAAUUAUUGUAGUCCCCCAUGUACUCGAACCCCUCUCUCUCCAAUUAGAACCCUCGCUAACCAAAAAAUAAAAUUGUAAAACCCCGGAUGUCUUUUCCAAUCUUGUCUUGAGGAAAAAGAAAAGAAAAGAAAAGAAAUUAAAUUAAACCUGAAGUACUUCUACUGAGGGCAACCAAUACUCCUCCAUUGCGUGCUUAGUGUGUGAAAUCGUAAUAACAAUUCGAGGAAGAUUUUGAUCGGGAAAUCUAACUAAAGAUGUUUCGCAAUCAAUACGAUACGGAUGUGACGACAUGGUCGCCGGCGGGGAGGCUAUUUCAGGUGGAGUACGCGAUGGAAGCGGUCAAACAAGGUUCGGCGGCGAUAGGGCUGAGAUCGAAGACUCAUGUGGUUUUGGCUUCCGUUAACAAGGCCAAUUCCGAGCUAUCUUCUCACCAGAAGAAGAUCUUCAAGGUCGAUGACCACAUCGGAGUAGCUAUCGCCGGACUCACCGCCGACGGCCGCGUUCUCUCCCGUUACAUGCGGUCUGAGUGUAUCAAUUAUAGUUAUUCUUACGAGUCUAAGUUACCUGUCGGACGCCUCGUUGUCCAGCUUGCUGACAAGGCGCAGGUUUUGUUUUGUUUUUUUUUUUUUCCCUCUCUUCGUUCGAUUUAUUUGAUUUUUUUAAUUUUAUGCUGUAUCUGUUAGUACACCUAACUUUUUGUCAUUCUGUUAGUUUGUAUUUGUUCUAUGGAAUUUCAGUUUGUGAAGUUUUAGUGGACACUUAGGGAUAGAGUUUUAGAAGGGAGCACUUAGUGGAUUGAAGCUGGAUAAUGAAAAUUUUUUGUUCUUUGUGAUUUUUAGGUUCAAUCUGAUCGGAUAAUUAUGAGAAAAUGGUUUAUCGGAGCCAAAUAGUGUCGCUUAGUUUCUUAUGGAUAUUGGACAUACCUUCAGUGAGGACCAUGUCUCUGUGGUGCAACGAGUGCUAAAUUGGGUGAGCGAAUGCCUGAGAGGUGGUGGUGUUUCUGAUCCAAUUUAUGGCUAUUCGUCUAUCAGCUGUGCCAUGGUUGAAAUAUAAGUUUAAUUUUGUUGUCCUUUUAACAUAAUCCUAAAGUCACAACAUUUAUGUCUCACAUGCUACAUUGUUUGUUCAAUACAAAGUAAAUUGAGAUUUUCUUAAUGUGCUUGCUAGCACACACCUUUGACAUGCUAUAUGAUGUAACAUGAAUUAUUACUGUCUUAAGAAAAGAAAGUAGAAAUUAUUAAUGUGAUAUAGAUUGGACUAAGUUAGCUUUUGUCUUGGUUCAUCAAAGUUUACGGUAAAUUAAUUGGUGCUUCUUGUGUAAAUAGUUUUCCUCCUUUGGAAUUUUUUUGGGUAACAUCGAGUGUGUUUGGAUAGGAGAUUAUUUGAAAUAUUAUUUAGAAUAAUUACUGUAGCACUUUUUGCCAUAUGAUGUAUGUGAGAUAAAAAUGUGAUUGAGAAGAUAAAAAAAAGUGUGUUGGAAAAUGUGUUGCUUUACUUUGAUAAACUUUUGUUAUCAAUUCCCAUUGUUCUGUUUUUUUUUUUUGGUGGAUGGUCUUUUCUUGGAAAAAGUUUGUAGAUAGGUGGCAUCUGAUUACUGUCUAUUCAUGGACUGACCCUUAUUUUUCUGUGAAAUUGUUUAGAUGGGUUAUUAACAUAUGCAUUGAUUAUACUGUUACCCAAACAAAAAAGAAAAAGGUAAUAUAGCUUACCUGUUAACAAGUUUACGCAAUGACAAUAUAGCUCCUGAAGCUGCAAAAUUUAGGCUUGAAGCUGUUUGAAGGUCCUGAUUUGUGAUAUCAUAGUGUAGUGACUGGCAGGCUAUUUAGUGACAAAUUACUCUGUGUUCAUUUAAAAAGAAAAACAAAAGAAAAGAAAAGAUGUUGCUUCUUUGGGGUUUUGUUCAAUUUCAGAGCAGCUCACGGGAACUGAACCCGUGAAACCAUCAUGUCUAGGCUUUGAAAAAAGAAGAGGGGGGGGGGGUUGCUGUUGUUACAAUUUUUCUUGGGGAAAUUGUUUUGCAAAACUACUGUCACUAUGUAAUGACCUUUGCUUGUUUGGGUUGAGGGGUUGCAUGGUUUGUGCUCAGUCCAGCUUUGCAUGUGUUGGAAAUGUUCGAGUCAGUCUGAUGUAUGGAAUGCCUUAUUAUUUUGUCAUUCAUGUUUUCUAGUUGCCUGCUCCAUCUCUAACCCCCCCCCCCUCUUUUCCUCUCUCUGUAUAUUAAUUUUUUUUGGCACACUUGAUGAUCAAACCUGACUCUUGAUGGAUUGACUUUUGAACCAGGGUAUUACCUUAUUGCUACUAGUGUGACAGAAACAAAGUUGGCUAAUGGCUUUCUUUGUAAAGGUUCUACUAGUGGAUAACGUCAAGAUUGUCUACAUAUAAUAAUAGUUUGCAAGUCACAUUUGUACUUCUAUCAGCAGUAUGGAGCACCUUUGGAGUAUUGUCUUGUGGAGUCUUAUUGUUGCUUCUAUAUAACUUGUGCUGCCCAAUAUUCUGAUCCAACAAUGCGAAGUAAUUUGGAAUAAACCUUAAAUUUUAUGCUGGUUGCAUGUAGAACUGUUAUUCUUAAGAUUCUGGUGCAUUGCAUGGUACAUACACUGCCUGGUCCAUCGGUUCAAAUAUCCUGGCUGUUUACAGUUGUCUCCUCAGGAGCUGAGCUUGAGGAGCUAUCCUCAAACUUUGCAUGAUUUUCAUGUUGACCUUGUUAUUUUAUUCUUUUGAAUUUGUUGAUGUAGGUUUGCACGCAGCGCUCCUGGAAACGGCCGUAUGGUGUUGGUCUGCUGGUAGGCGGUUUAGAUGAAUCUGGAGCUCACCUUUACUACAAUUGCCCUAGCGGUAAUUAUUUUGAAUACCAAGCAUUUGCAAUGGGGUCUCGAUCACAAGCAGCAAAGACAUACAUGGAGCGGAAGUUUGAGACUUUCACGGAGUCCUCACGAGAGAAUCUUGUCAAAGAUGCACUUUUUGCAUUGAGGGAGACCUUGCAAGGAGAAAAGCUGACAAGCUCCAUUUGCACGGUUGCUGUGGUAGGAGUAGGCGAGUCAUUCCACAUAUUGGACAAGGAAACUGUACAAGCACUCAUCAAUGAAUUUGAGAUAGCAGGCGAAGAGGAGGCUCCUGCUAAUGAGGCUGCUCCCCAGGAUCAAGGGGGUGAUGCUCAAGCAGGUGCCGCUGAUCAGGGGCCUACUGAUCAAGGGGUGGCGCCAAUGGAUAUAUGAUGGUAUUUGGGAGGAUGAGAGUUACUCUUUGAUGAAUGAUGGGAUCUGCUCGAGCUGUAGACAAAAAAACAUGUUCUUGUUGGAUAUUUGAUUUUCAUUAUGCGGUCUUUUGGUGCUUCACUAAUGCAAACAUGUUAAACUUUCUUCUCUUAGACCCCAAGCUAAAUUAUUUUCCAGAAUGAGUGUCUGCUUUCUGGUUGGACAUUGCUGCAUUAUGUAUUGCCUUUUAAUAUGUCUUGCUCUAAAGGGAGAGGAGCUUUAGUUAUUUGUGACAAAAAUUCUAUUUUAUUGUCAUAGUUGUUUUCCUUUGAGGAAAAAAUUGGAAUAAAUUAGAUGUGUAUGUAUUAAAAUGAAAAAAAUGACUGCCAUAAAAUAAAACAAAAUAAUUGACAAAAUAAAAUAAAAAGAAUUCCAUAGUUUUUUUUCUUUUAAAAAAAAAAAAAAAAAAAAAAAAGAGUAAACAGCUAACUAGAAAUAACUGAAUGUGGUGGAUCAUUAACACCCCACCAAUGAUAUAACGUUCUGACAAUUUAAGUAUUUACUUUACCUCAUGUUUAUCAAUUUUGUUUGUUACUUCUAACUCGAUAUAUACACAAUACAUUUCUGGUAGAGAGUCAACACUUGGCAUUAGAGUUUGAGUCAUGAUUCAUCUCAAAAGGUCAAGAUUUAUUUUUCGAAAAACAUAUCCAUAUAGGAGCACAAAAAUUAAAAACAUUUUUACAAAGCUUGAUUAAAAGAACCCAGAAAUAUAACAAUAAUUCCAUUCUGAAGCUAAUAAUUCCAAAGAAUUGUAGUAUCUCAAAAGUGUCAUAUUUUGUAUUAAUACAAUCACGUGCAAUGCACGUGAGGCAUUACCAGCGUGUUAAGAAGCGGAAUCAGCAGGUUUUGUCUAGCAUCAUCACUACAGGCAUCCCACUGUUAACAGGAUGUUAAAAGUCCAGAAAGAUUGGUGAGAUGUUCGAAAUUAUUCCUUGCAGGGCUAAGGAAAUAUAUUAUUGUCUUUCAAUUGGACAUCCGCUACCAUUUUAUACAUCUUGUCGGUAUCCAAAUCCAAGUUAAGCUUUCAUGAGUCGGUGGCUCAAGCAAGUACGGUACUCCAACUUUUGGAGUGCCAUCCAGUCACAGAUCAAUAAAUUCAGUUAAAACCAGUACAAACAAGAAACUAAGAUUGCUUAAACAAUGGCAUUAUGCCGUAACAUAGGAUUAAAACUUUCUACAACUUUCCAAUGGAAAGAGUGGUUGAUAAAUCAAAAAAAUAAAAAACAUUAUGAGGGCCUUUCCUUAAACAUGAUGGCCAAGUAAAAGAAUCAUCUAACAGCAAUACCAAUAAUCUUCAACUCCGUUAGGAGUCGGAAUUUGCCGAAUCUGGGACUGGAAGUCCCUUGUUUCGCAUCUGUGUGUACAUCCACUGC